CCUAUCAAUUGCCCACCCCCGGCCCUCAGGCUCCCACCCUCACUCGGGCUCUCCAUGGCUGGAGAAGAACCAACCGGCCCUCGAGCCCUUUCCUGCAGCCCGUCCCCCCAGCUACAUGCAAGGCUGGACUUGCUCUAAACCCCUCUCUCCUCUUUCCAAGUACUAUGGCCGGUGAAAGGGAAGAAAAAAUCAAAGCAACUGCGGCUCAGCCUCCUAGAGGCCUACCACUAAAUUGGCUGCUGUGGCCAUUGUUGGUGGCGAUCUGCGUUCUAAGUGUUCUUUUGGUCGCAUGGCGGACAGAAACGUAUGGCCCCGAUUUCCGAGUCCAAUCGGCCAUCGUGUCCCAACUCAACGCGACUCAAUCCCAGUUAACCGCCACCUGGGACCUGUCCGUGGUGGCCACAAACCGCAACCCCGGCAAACUUCAGGACAUGUACAUCAAGAGACUGAUGGCGUACAUCUUCUACGGGGACAAAGAGAGGAUGAUGAUGCUGGCAGUGAAGCCGGUGGGUAUACGGCCGCGUCUCUUGUUGUCAGGCAAGAGGAACCAGGCCACAGCCAGUUUCCAACUCCAAGCGGUGGAGAUGUACGUGGGACAAAAUGUGUCCCAGGAAAUAUUGCAAGGGCUUAGCGCCCCUGGCUCUGCCUCUGGCUCUCUGGUGAGAUUUGGUCUCAAGCUCGAGGUUUGGUAUAAGCAUAUCGGCAUGGAGUCGGAUUUUACAGCGCUCUUCUGCGACGGAGUGGUCGAUUUUGGGGUUUCGCCGGUCAAUUAUGUUAAUAAUGGGACUGGGAUUUCGACAGUUAAGGAGGGUCAGUCGACGGAAUGCUAUUAUUACGAGGCAAAGGAUUUUUAUUACUAAGAAUAACUUGUAGACGUUUUUUUUUGUUAAGAAACUAGCAGUUACUAGUCUCGUAUGGAGGAAGUUGAUUUCUGUAGGUUGAAUUGGAAAUGUUGGCAUUGCAAUGCUGCGGUUUGUUGUUCUUUUGUUGAAUGAGUAGGUUGCACUAGUGUCGUAUGGGAGUUGCUGUGUGUGACUGGAAUUGGAAAUGUUGCAUUGCAAUCCUGUUUGUUGUUCUUUUGUUGAAUGACUAGUUUUUAUUUAUUUAUUUUUGUUUACUUCCGUUCGAUUUUUCUGCAGAAAAUAAGUAGAUGAGCUUCAGGAACUAAAUGACAGCUCUUUCUGGAACUAAAAGUGAUCUGGUUGAGAAUGCUGUCUAACUCUUUCUGUGGGUUGAAUUGGAAGUGUUGGCAUUGCAAUGCUGCGAUUUGUUGUUCUUUUGUUGAAUGAGUAGGUUUUACUAGUCUCGUGAAAUGUUGCUUUGCUAUCCUGUUUGUUGUUCUUUUGUCAAUCAAGGGACCAACUGCGUCCAAGGAUUAGGAACAAUUUGUGUCUUUACAUUGCUACUAGUGUUGUCCUAGCCAGGAAGCACUGUUAAUAGACUCUUGAAUAGUUGAUCAUGUUCAUAUUAUUGCAUCUGACAUUCAGUCAUACGGAUAGGAGGAUACUGUGUUUAACCUAUAUUUUUAUACACAGCACAAUUGCUUUCGGUGACCUUCUUGGAUUCAAGAUAGAACUCGUUAACAGUAAGCCCUCCUACGUCUCACUGCAAAGCUCAUAAAACGCACCAUCCUAACCAUCCAUUAAUCAAAGCAAAAGAUUGACUGAAAAACCCAUAAAGAAAGAACACGAGAAACAAUAAACACAUUUAUCAUUUACCUCAAGAGUCGAAGACAGAGUCGGAUACGGUGGUGGCUACUGUUUGAUAAGGUAAAAUCUUGAAAAACAAAGGUGUAUAGGUUUUAAAGGUAAGUAAGCAACUUUGAACUUAAAAAACGGAGAGAAAGGGUUUGUCUUUGUACCUGGCAAGUCGAAGAAGGUGGCCGCAGGUGCGCCUGUCUAAUGGAAAUUGAGCAAUUUUGUUUAGUGGCUAAGAAUUCAGUAGUUUUAUGUUGUUUAGUGGAUAAAAAUUCAGUGGUUAUAAUUUCUAAACAAAAGUGAUUUAAAAAAAGUUCCUUGAGUAGAACAAGUUAUAUAUUGACUUUAACUCAAUUUAUAUUGGUGUGACAAGUUUCAAUUACUUUUCAACUCACAAUACAAAAAAAAAAAAAAAAGUUACAUUAAAUCUAUCAACUUCAGAACCCUGUCUAUAUAUAACUCGAAAGCCCUGGGUACCCAAAACCCAGAAAACAAGUUAAGACUAAAGAGCAACCCAUAAAUCAUUGGGUCCAAACCAACUCUGAUUUUCAUAGAUCAUUGUGGAAUGUGUUCAUGUUUCACGAUCGUUUCAAAUAACUUAUUUUAUUUUAAGCGUACCUAAUUGGCAGAAAACAACGAAAGCCUUUGAAUUUGUAGAAGAUCAUUAUCAGAAAGCUAGAAUUUCAUCUCAAAUGCGUCGUAUCACGUUCAACACAGAAAAAAUUAAAUUGAAUCAAUAACAAGUAGAUCAAUUCAAUAAAAUAAUUUAAUGAAUAAUUAUGGAGCCCAGAGAGAGGGAAAGUGCGGCAAUAGUAGAGAGAAAGAGAGAUGUGUAAUUAUGUGAUGUGUUUGAUUCAUUCUCAUUGUGCCUUUAUUUAUAGUAGUAGGAUAGGUAAGAAUCUUUCCCUUUAGAAUUACAACAUUUAAUAGAUAAUCAACUCCUAAUAAGAAUAUAAGUUACAUUUCCAUAUCUACUAAAAUUUACACAAUCACAUUUACAUUCUAAGGGUGUGUUUGUUUGGCCUCAUUAAGUGGGACUGGACUGGACUGGACUGGACUACUUCCUAGUGUAGUCCCAUGUUUGGUCCGUGCUGGGACUAAGUUAAAUGAGAUUAAAGGGGAUUCGCGUGGACUAUCGGCCUCGCUAGAAGUUCUUGGCGAGACCCUCCCCCAACCAUGGGACUCGCUAAGACCAUCUUUGCUUCGCUCUUUCUGUGGAGCCAAAAAUAUUCACUAGGCGACACGUGGAUUUUUUGAACAAAAGAGGACAAAAAUACCCUUGAGGCAUACCGGGAUUCCUACGCGCAAAUAGUGGGUAAUCAUCCUCAACCAAUUCAAAAAUGCUCCAGAAGAGGUAACCAAUUCCAAAUUAUCUUAUUAUAGGUAAUUAUUUCCAAAACUUAAUUUCCCUAAUAUAUUAUUUAGUUAAUUAAUUAUCUAAAUAAUAUAUUCUUCCCAUAUCUCCUAAAAUCAUCCCUUAAAUAUCAAUUUGAAACAUCCAUUCAAACCUAAAAAUUAGUAUAGGGCCGGCUAUCCUUUUCAAAACCUAAUACAUCACCCUUUUUUCUACCUUUUCCAUCAUUUCUUCCCUUUUAUUAACCAAUCAAUACCAUAAAGCACUAAAACAUUUCCUUUCAUAUUUAAUUAGCCAAUUAAUUGGCUAAUUAAACCUAAAAUAAAACCUAAAAAUCCCAUAGUAGCCGGCCAUAUUCCCUCCCAUCUUUUCCCUACCUUUUUUAUUUCCUCCACUUUAUUACUCAAAUAAAGCUAAUCAUUUAAGACCCCAUUCAUUUCUAUUUUAUUAGCCAAUAAAGGGGCUAAUAAAAACCACAAAUUCACUAAGAAAAGGAAAGGGUGUGGCCGGCCCUUCCUUGGUGAAAAUGGGGAAGCCUAAUCCUAUAAAUAGGCUCCUAUUCUCACCAAAAAUUCAUUCCAAACCUCUUGCAAAAAUUCCAAAACACUCUAAACACUAUUUCUCUCUAAAUUUCUAACUUUGGCAUCGGAGGUUCUUCGGCCAAAGCCCCCCCCCCCAUUCAUCGUGGGCGCGUGAGGCUUUUGGCCUUAACCUAAGGUGCUAGUUGUUUUGUAGGUGCAAAAUCGUCCAAGAUCGAAGAGGAGAAAAUUUGCAUCCACAAAUUGGUGCUUUCAUUGAGAGUUGAAAUCCAUACUCGUAGAAGACUCUCGUACAAAAAGGUUUUUUCUUUAUUUUCUAGUCCAUUUGAAUAUUUUUCAUACGUUCUUAUUAUUAGAAUUUUCUACUUGCAAAGGUUCUUUGAUAAAACGUAUAAGAAAAAUAUAAUGACUAGAAGUUUAGAAAAUUCCGCAAGUAAAAAUUCUAGUAUUCAAGAAAUGGGACUGCGGAGAUCCAUGAGGCAAAAUGCGACAAGAAGGGGAGCGACAUCAUCACCACGAGUUUCCACCAUGGGAACCACCGUGAUGGCUACCUCGGUAGCCACCCGCGGCGAGGUCCAUGGUGCCUUCACCACAGCCACCAUGGGAACCACCGCGGGGGCUACUCCGGUAGCCGCUCGUGGCGAGGUCCAUGGAGCCUUCACCACCGCCGCCAUGGGAACCACCACGGUGGCUACUUCGGUAGCCGCUCGUGGCGAGGUCCAUGGAGUCUUCACCACGGCCGCCAUGGGAACCACCACGAUGGCUACUUCGGUAGCCACUCGUGGCGAGGUCCAUGGAGCCUUCACCACGGCCCGAGCCGUGCCAUCCAAGUUUACGUGGACCAAAGCCCAAGCCUCGCCUUCACAUGCACCGCGCAUUGAGCAGCCUGCUCCCGUGAUCCAGCCUGCUCUUAUAGCCCAGCCUGCUCCAACGAUCCAGCCUGCCCCAGUGAUCCAGCCUGCCCCCGCAGCCCAGCCUGUUUUCAUGGUUUCCCAAGCUGCCCAAGUUCGCCCGAGACAAUCUCAAACAUCCGGACCAAUCAUCGAGGCUGAGGUGUUUUCACCGCAUUUCUCCGCAGAUUUGACUUCCCCAACUCAAAUCUCGCACUUGGAGUCAACCACCCUUUCAUUGUUCAAGGAGGUGCAUUCCAUCCAAGUUCUUCCAAUCCGAAUGGCGAACAAAACUUGUCCCGACAAGUCAUAGAAUUGACGAGCGCCCUUGCACAACAAACUACCUUGGUGAAUCAACUUUUACAACGUACUGAGAUGCAUCGCGCCCACGAUGAAGUUUCCCGAAGUAGAACAAGGGUAGACAAGGAGCCUUUUAAACAGCGUCCUGGAAAGCAGCCAUUCAACCCAUCAUAAGUCGAGCAUUCAGACAGUGCACACUCUCGAUUGGGCCCCCGAAAUAGCGUAUACUCCCGUCUUAGCGCGAGGAGGAGCGUGCACUCUCGGUUAGGCCCACGAGCAAGUAUACAUUCACGGUUGGGGCCACGCUUUGAUAAUCAACAUGGGCAACCUUCCAGGCAAAGCAUUCAUUCGCGAUUAGGCUCACAAGGAGUAUCCUCCACAUCACAUCGGAGCAGGCAACCUGACAAACGGAAGGAAACGAUCGUUCAAUCUGGCUCUAGUUCAACCGGUAGCCUGCAAAGAAAUCCCUCGCCUGCUAGGAAUCUAUCUCAUCCAUUACAGCCAUAACAUAGACGAACCGACCGAGAAGAAGAGCAGCCUAGACCGGUAGAAAAAGACCAAGGGCAGCCAAAAGCUCCGCUACCCCAACAAAAGCAAAUCCAAGAAGAGGUAGAAAGGCUUUUCAAUGAGCGGAUGCGUGAUUUUUGGCGCAACGAAAUGGUUGAUGAGGCACUAAGGCGAGAUAUGACCAACAUGAGCAGGUCACCUUUCGCGGAUGAGAUCGAGCAGGCAGAGCCUCCGCGCAAGUUUAGCAUGCCACACUUCACAUCUUUCAAAGGAGAUGGGGAUCCCGAAAGACACUUGAAGCAUUACCGAAAUGCGAUGGUCCUUUAUCAGAAUAAUGACGCCCUUAUGUGCAAAAUAUUCGCCACUACUUUACAAGGCGAGGCACAAGAUUGGUUUCAUACCUUGCCGGCAUGAUCCAUCCAAAAUUUUGAUGAUCUUUCCUUGGUCUUCACCAAAGAAUACUCAUCUUAUCGAUCGAUCAAGAAGAAGUCCGAUCACCUGUUCAACGUAAAGAAAAACCCAAAAGAGUCGCUUCGCGAUUACGUGAAGAGAUUCAAAGCAGAGAAAGCGAAGAUCGUCGGAUGCGACAACUCGAUAGCAAGUGCAGCCUUCCAAAAAGGACUACCAGCAAACCCACCCACUGUUUGGAGAAAUGAUCAUGAAAAAAGACCUAACUCUAGCAGAUUCCUUUGCUCUGGCAGAAAAGCAUGCGCUUUGGGAUGAGGCUCGACAAGCAGAAAAGGCUCCCGAACAACCUCAAAAAGAGUUGGCAGCUACUCAAAAGAAGGAUGAAAAACAACCCAACAAGGGCAGACAUGAGUUCAAGCGCAGGGACCGACCCACGACCAAAGAAGGCCCGAUGACCAACAACUAUUCUAAGUUCUCAAUUCCGAUUCAUCAAAUCCUUCGUGACGUCAAGAAUGACCCAUGGUUCAAGUUGCCGAAGCAGUCAAAAGGAGAUACUUCCAAGUUGGACCACACUAAGUAUUGUGCAUUCCACCGAGGUCCCGGUCACACAACCAACGAUUGCUACACUUGGAAGAACUACCUAGAGAAACUCGUGAAAGAAGGCAAAGUCGAUAGAUAUUUGGACAAGCCAGCUGAGCAGCAAAAAAGGAAUGCAGACGGAGAUGAGGAGCCACCAACUAAGACGAUUCGAAUCAAUGGCAUUUUCGCUGAGUCCGAGCACUUAGGGGCUACUAAUAACUCCAAAAAGAGGAAGAUCCAGCAGGCCUUACUAAUCUCACAAGUUCAUGCAGUCGAUACCCAACCUGGACCUAUCAUUGGCUUCACGGAGCAGGAUGCAGAAGGAGUCGACUUCCCACACGACGAUGCAUUAGUAGUAUCUGUCCCAACUAGCCCAUGCUAUAGUCGACAGGAUGAUGGUUGACAAUGGAAGUGCGGUCAACCUACUUCAACUUUCAGUCAUUCAGAAGAUGGGCCUGGAAAGUACAAUCAUACGCCGGGCAGAGGUACUUACUGGAUUCAACGGACACACCUCAACUGCCAUCGGUCAUAUCAUACUUGACGUAAAAACACCGCCAGUUGUCUCAAAGCAAACAUUCACGAUUGUAAGCGACCCAUCUCCCUACAAUGGGAUUCUUGGGAGACCUUGGUUGAUCAAGCUGGAUGCUGUCACUUCCGUCAAGUAUCAAAAAAUUCGAUUCCGCAUCCCGGGAGGAGGAGUCGGAGAGAUCAAGUCUGACCAGGUUUCAUCCCGACGAUGCACUGUGCAAAUGUUAAAAGAAACAAAGAAGAAGACCUUUACCCCCGUAAAGGUUACUGAAGUCCAAAAGGGUAAAGAAAUUGCCAAAUAGCAAUUACAGCAGGUGGAUCGAGAAGAUGGCGCCCAAGCAGACAAGAUAGGAUGGAAACCCGAAGAGGACGCCGAGGACAUCAUUCUUGAUCCCCAGCAGCCGGAAAAGACGGCUAAAAUUGGCUCACGAUUAAGCCAGACGAGAAGGAAGAACUCACAAUUUUCCUUAGGAAAAACCGAGAUAUCUUCGCAUGGUCACCAUCCGACAUGCCUGGUAUUGAUCCCAAAGUGGCCUGCCACAAGCUGCACGUCGAUCCAACUGCCAAACCGGUAAUUCAAAAAAGAAGACAUUUCGCUCCCGAACGAGUAGCGAUCAUUGAGGCAGAAAUCGACAAACUAUUGGAGGUCGGUUUCAUAGAGGAGGUAGCACACUCGGCAUGGCUUGCUAAUGUCGUACUAGUCAUGAAGAAGGAGAAGGGUAAAUGGAGGGUUUGCGUAGACUACACUGACCUCAACAAGGCAUGCCCAAAAGACCAUUAUCCUGUCCCCCGGAUUGAUCUAUUAGUAGAUUCAACUUCUGGAAACCAGUUACUUAGUUUCUUAGACGCAUACUCCGGUUACAACCAAAUAGCCAUGCAUGAGCCCGACAAGGAGAAAACUGCGUUUGUGAUAGAGCGAGGCACUUACUGCUACAAGGUCAUGCCUUUUGGCCUCAAGAACGCGGGAGCCACUUACCAAAGACUAGUAAAUAUGAUGUUCAAAAAGAAAAUUGGGGUAACCAUGGAGGUCUAUGUCGACGAUAUCAUGGUAAAGGGUAAGCAGCGAUCAGAUCACAUUCGCAAUUUAGCAGAAGCUUUCAAUAUCCUUAGAAGGUACAAGAUGAAGCUCAACCCCACCAAGUGCACAUUUGGAGUAUCUUCAGGUCGAUUCCUAGGGUACUUAGUAACCCAACGAGGAAUUGAAGCACAUCCCAAGCAAAUCCAAGCAAUCAUAGAGAUGAAAUCUCCAACUACCUUGAAGGAGAUCCAAAGCUUGACCGGACGAGCAGCCGCCCUCAAUCGCUUCCUCUCACGAUCCACCGAUCGAUGCAAACCCUUUUUCAAAGCUAUCAGGAGGGCACAAAGAAACAAAUGGGAUGAAGAAUGCGAAAAAGCUUUCCAAGACUUGAAGAGUUAUCUCACAUCACCUCCCUUACUAUCCAAGCCGGAAGCAGCAGAGGAUUUAUAUAUUUAUUUGGCAGUUUCCGAGGUAGCAGUGAGCUCUGCUCUCAUACGAGAAGAGCUGGGGGCCCAACUGUCGGUAUUCUACACUUCUAAAGCUCUUCUCGAUGCGGAAACAAGAUAUCCGAAGAUUGAAAAAUUAAUUUUGGCGUUAGUUGUUGCGGCUCGGAAGCUCAGACCCUACUUUCAAGCUCAUACAGUCAUUGUUAUGACUCAAUAUCCCUUACGAUCAAUAUUACAUGGUCCGGACGCUUCUCAACGAGUGAUGAAAAUGGGCAUUGGAACUUGGCCAAUAUGGUUUAGUUUUCCAACCUCGCACAGCGAUAAAGGCCCAAGCCUUGGCAGAUUUCGUGGCAGAAUUCACACCUAGCCUAGGCAACGCAACAGUGCGGCCCAACGACGCCCCAGAAGCAGCAGAGAGUACCUUAGCCACACUUACUCCAUCCAAUAAAGAUUUCUGGAACUUGCAUGUCGACGGUGCAUCCAACUAUAAAGGCUCGGGAGCAGGUGUAGUUCUUGUUUACUCCAGAUGGCUCAAUGCUCGAGCAGGCGAUCACCCUAGGUUUCAAAGCAUCCAAUAACGAAGCAGAGUACGAGGCUCUACUAGCGGGUCUCCGAAUGGCAAGAGACUUAGCGGUGAAGAAACUCGCAAUUCAUUCUGAUUCCCAACUAAUCACCAGCCAGGCUACUGGGAAUACACGGCAAAACACCCAAGGAUGGCACAAUACCUAGAGAAAAGUACGCCAGCAGCUUGAAGCAUUUUAGACUUACACUCUCACUCAAGUUCCGCGAGCAGACAAUGCACAUGCAGAUGCACUAGCUGGUUUAGGCUCCGCCCUUGACCACCAAUUCAAACGCUCCAUUCCGGUGGAAUAUCUAGACAAGCCAAGCAUAGAGAUGGAGUCGAUAGCCGAAGUGUCACAGGUUAGUGUAACUCCCACUUGGCAAAGUCCAAUUAUAGACUACUUGGUCAACGGCACAUUACCCACAGAAAGAUUGGAGUCAAGGAAGCUCCAAAUUAAGUCGGCACGCUACUAUAUGUGGAAUGGCAUUCUCUCGUCCGAAGAUCCUACACCGGACCACAUCUCCGCUGCCUGGCACCUCCCGAUGACUUGAAGGUUCUAAGCUCAAUCCACGAAGGCGUUUGUGGGAAUCACUCUGGAGGUCGAUCCUUAGCCCAAAAGGCUCUUAACGCAGGCUAUUACUGGCCUACCAUGCACCAAGAUGCUAAGGAGUUAGUACAAAAAUGCGACCGUUGCCAACGCUACAAACCAGUACCAGCACUACCCGCUAGUGAGUUACACCCGCAAACGAGUCCUUGGCCAUUCAUGCAGUGGGCAAUCGACCUGGUAGGGCCUAUGCCGCCUGCUACGGGGGGCAGAUGCAUGAUGAUCGUGGCAACCGACUAUUUCACCAAAUGGGUAGAAGCAGAACCCAUGACAACCACGACUCAGACGGACAUAGAGCGCUUUAUAUGGAGGAACAUCAUUUGCCGAUUUGGCAUCCCUCAAUCCAUCGUCACUGACAACGGUCCUCAAUUUGUGGGAAAAGAUUUGGCAAAGUUCUUCCAAAAAUACGGCAUCAAACAACACACAUGUCCACACCAAGAUAUCCUCAAGGCAAUGGGCAGGCCGAAGCAUCCAACAAGACGAUCCUCGACUGUCUCAAGAAAUCCCUCACCGAUAAAAAGGGAAAAUGGCCAGAUGAGCUUCCAGGAUGUUUAUGGGCAUAUCGCACCACCAAAAGACGAGCAACCGGUGAAACCCCUUUCUCUUUGGCGUUUGGUUCGGAAGCAAUCAUACCUCCCAACAUCAUCGUGCCAAGCAUCAACACUCUAUUGCCAAACGUUGAGCAGAACAGUAAAGAAAUGGCCACAGAUUUAGAUCUGGCAGAAGAAAGGCGCGAACAAACCAUCACCCGCAUCUCAGCCUACCAGCAGCAGCUCAUUUCCAGCUACAACAAAAAGGCCAAGAUCCGGCAGUUCCAACUCGGAGACCUAGUCCUAAGAAAAGCUUUCAUCACUGCCCGCAGAGAAGGCUCGAAAAAAAUGGACCCCAUCUGGGAAGGUCCUUACAAGAUCAACAGAGUCGGCGGUAAAGGCAGUUAUACUCUUGCUACCAUGAAUGAUAAAGAGAUCGAGAAGCAAUGGAACGCCUACAAUUUGAGGAAAUACCAUGUGUGACUUCACACUAUAUCAAGACCCGAAGACUCGAGCAUCUCAACGGGCACCACCUCGUAAACCGAGGACUAUCCAAUCAUCAUGCAGUUUUUGCAACCAAGUUAUUCGCUCAUUUUAUUUUUCAAUAAAGAAUUCAAAAGUAAUUUGUAAUUUGGCUUUAAUAUAUGUCUACAACAACUUAUUUCUUUCUGCAUUUCAAAAGAAAAUUACACCCCCCAAGGGACCAACUGUGCUCUCCAAGGAGGGAGGAUAAACUCAACACUCCGAAUAUCCAGACGUGGAUGAGCUUGGCUGCCCUAGAAUGACUAGGUGCAUGAUGGCUUGCGCCGGGAUUCCUAGAACUAGCCACAAUGGUCUGUUUCAAGGCUUAGCUAGUUGAAGGAUUAUGGGUCUAUCAGCUUAAUCCGCAGGGAACCGGGCCCUAGAGAUGGAGGGGGCACAUUAUGCAGCACACCCAAUGGGCGGCUGCCCUGGAAACCUAAAGCUGCUACCGAGUGCACUAAGGUAGCCUACGGAUUUCCAGAAGACUGCCUACGGCUUGCCCUUCGAGCAGUAGAACCACGCUAGACUUAUGCAACCGCACAUUAUUGUGAAAGGUUAAACAAGUUAGCCUGCACACACGAAGAUUUUAUCCACUACCGACAUGCUACGUAGUUGAUAAGCUUCACCUCUGUCAAACGCAGGAUAACCUAUACCAAAUCCUAAAGUGUUGUGAUACUUGCUACACAACCUACGGAAUUGGAAAGAUCCAAGGUUGAAUAGCCAAGUGGUUACGCGGAUUCGUCUGCUUCUGUAAGUAAGGCAUCCGGCUGCCAACCCUAUGGUUAAUAACUUUGCAAAAGUUCUACAUCAACACCUAUGGCUACAUAGGCUAUGUGGGCUUGUCUGCUUAUAGAAAAGUAGCACGUCUGCCACUGGCUUAUAAGGUCUAAAGGUUAAAAAAAAAAAAAAAAAUGGGAAAAGCAAAAGAAACGAGUUUAUUAAAUUUUAUAGCAAAAUUGAUAAACAACAAGCAAAUACCAAAGGAGUUCAAGCAAAAGCAACAAAGGAAAGAAAAGGAAACCCUAAAAGCUACCUAGAAGACUACUCUUCAGUAGUUUGGACAUCUCCCAACUGCUCGGUUGUUACACCUUCAGCAGCCUUGGUGUUCUCAGCAGCGACAUCCUCCGAACCUUUACCCUCGACUGCUCCAGCCUGGGUAUCAACUCCUCCAGCUAUUUCACCGAUAGAAGACUCAAAGGUAAAAUCGAGCAAGUCUUCUGGGGAAAUAGAGAAGGUCUCGAAGUCUUUACCGGAAAACUCAAAGUCAGACGGCCGCCCAUAGAGAUGAUCUACAUAGCCCAGCUUGUAGAAAUCAGAUUGGUUCUGAAUAAGCGAAGCCUCGAAACCAUUUUUCUCACUCUUCAACUGCUCAUUCUCCUCAAACAGGCAAGCACGAACUCGCUGCAACUCCUCAAUUUCUUUCUUCAGAUUGUCGUUGGUCUUCAAAACACCUUGAAGUUCCGACACUUGAGGCUCAAGCCUGUCAGCAACCUCUUUGAAGUGGAUCGCUUGGUUGUAAGUAGCAAUCAAUUCUUCAUCCUUUGCAUAAGCAGCGGAGCGAAGUUCAGAUAUGGAGCGUUCAAGAUCUCGAAUCUGAGGUAUGUAACGCUCGAUUUCCUUCUCUGCACUUUCAUUCUUUGUUUGGACCGCAUCAAACCUAGUCUUCAAAUCCAUGAUCUCCUGGUGAGCGGCCUCAAGCUGCAGAGAAGUGGGGUCAGAAGUAUGAGAUUCCUUCAAAGCAGCAAGCUCAGAUUCCAAUUUUUUGAUUUUUUCGACCGAGGAAUAAGCUUCGGCAGCCAUAGUUCUUGCCAUCUUCUUUAGCAGCCUUGGUGUCCUCUUGGUCAAGGAACAUAGACUCGGCUGCCAGAAUUGUUGUUUUCUGCAUCAUGGCUAGCAGAGCAGUCUUCCUAUACUCGGGUGUAUGCUUUGCAAAAAGACUCGGACCAACAAUCUCUUUGACGCCAUCAACAAACUGGGCGCAUACAUCCAUGUCUUCAAGAAGAUCUGGUUUCAAAAGAGCACAAAUCUUAGCAGCCUCCUCAGAAACGGCCUUGGCGGAUUCUUCAAGCCUGCCUGAGCGAGCAGCUUCAUUCUUAUCAGCAGACGAGAUGGUUGCAGCAGCGGAAGAAGCAGUAUUCGGCGCCACUUUAGUAGACAGAGGCACCUUAUCACUCUUCAUAGUAGCAAGUCUCUUCAAGGGUAAGUCAGGUUUAGUCCCGGACGGACGUUUUGGCACAAACUUCGGUACCAAAGGCACGGAAGAACUUUUACGCUGAGCAAUUUUUUUUUCAGCAAUCGAGCUAGCAGCCUUCGAAGCAAUAGGCGUUACUGGCACAAAUGUAGCAGUUCGUUCUUUCUCGCCCUUAGAGGAAGUCAGGUCAAUCACAAUCUUGGGAGCAGCCGGAGAAUCCCCACGAGCAGUCUUCAUUUUCUUCUCAGCAGGCAUCUCUUGAGCAGGCGGGGAAUGUUUCUUUUUCCCACCUUCAUUGGUAGUAGGCUCCACCACAGUGAUAGGACGAGCCAUCGCGUCUGCCUUGAUCCGUUUUAUUUCUUCUUCUGGGGGUAGUCCACCUUUUUCCCUACGAAGAGGACUAAGCAGCCAACGCCACUCACGAUACUCGGAAGGAAUACCCAGAGCGACAUGCACUUUUUUCAUAUCUGGAGAAACCCUAGGAGUUGAGCCAAAUUCCGAAUCUACAAAAAAAGAAAAAAAAACAGAAGACAAUCAGAAAAUUGAAGAAUGAUUUGGCACUAAAGCAAAGCAGCCGAAAAGACUAAGCAGUCUGCUUACCAGAUAUGAAGAUCGUUGAUACACGCAGCUCGGGAGAAGAAUCAGAUUCCCAUUCUCCACUUAUCUCCAAAGUCUCUUUGGCCCAAUCAUGAUCUCCUUUACUCGAAUUAUCAAAAAGCUUAUGACGGAUUCGCAGUUGUCCAACUCCAUCAAUACGACCUAUGUCAAAGAAAUACCAAAAUUCGUUGGUGGUUAGUCCCAAGUCAAAGAAAUUGGUUCAAAUUGUGGAACCCCACCAUCACUCGGACCGCAUUCGGGGAACAUUGGGCAGGCGCACAUUUCAUAGAGCAAAGCACUUCUUGGAAGAAAACGCGGCAUAGGGAAAGUAAACCCUAACACAAAAUAGUAAGGAUGGAACUUGAUAGUUCUCCGAGUUCCACUGCAUGGUUCUCGGCUGCUACCAUCUUUAACUCACCUCACACGCACUCCCGACGGAAUGGCAUGCCAAUACGUUUCAAGAAAAUCUCUAAACAAAUUGUCGGAGCUAAUCUUGAUGUGAGCAGCUUUGAAGUAGCCAAUCUUGCUCAAAGACCCGCCUUGACGGUACAGCGGGGGCACACCAUCAUCAUUCUUACGGCUCGAGGAAGACAUGCUUGAAAAUUCUACAAAAGUACAAGGAAGAUUUGUUGGAGAGUUGUUAAAAAAAAAAAAAAAAAAAAAAAAAAAAAAGGAAUUAGGCUUAAAGCCGCAGGACCAGCAAACCUGGCAGGCCCCACGGCCUGGCUUGCUUCAACGCCCAGCAAGAAAAAAUAUAUAUAUUUUCAUGGCAUUACCAUGCCAUGGUUCACCAGAUCAACCUAUAACAAGUCUCUGAUUCCCAUCAAACCAAGAGUCAAGAUCCAAAGAUUCCAGAAAAUCAAGAAGACAAGAAAAAUAAUUUUUUCUUACCUGGAAGCAACGAAGAGCGAUCCUUUACACGGGCAAGACGUAGAAGAUUGCUAGAGGAAGGGGAACAAAUAUCCUCUAAGCUCUCUUUUUCUCUUGUAAGGAUGAAUAAGUUUCACUCUAAAAGUUGAUUUAACAAUCCACUUAAGGUGGACUUAAAUAAGCUUUGGGGAAAUUUAUUUCCUUUUCUUAGAAGGAUUUAAUUUCCUAUUGAAAGAAAGAAUCAACAACAAAAUAGGAAACAGUUCAAAGUUUCCUAAAGCAAGAAAAUCUCUACACCUAUUGCCCUUUUCUGCAAACAGCACAACAGGUGUGGGGGCAUUUGUGGAGCCAAAAAUAUUCACUAGGCGACACGUGGAUUUUUUGAACAAAAGAGGACAAAAAUACCCUUGAGGCAUACCGGGAUUCCUACGCGCAAAUAGUGGGUAAUCAUCCUCAACCAAUUCAAAAAUGCUCCAGAAGAGGUAACCAAUUCCAAAUUAUCUUAUUAUAGGUAAUUAUUUCCAAAACUUAAUUUCCCUAAUAUAUUAUUUAGUUAAUUAAUUAUCUAAAUAAUAUAUUCUUCCCAUAUCUCCUAAAAUCAUCCCUUAAAUAUCAAUUUGAAACAUCCAUUCAAACCUAAAAAUUAGUAUAGGGCCGGCUAUCCUUUUCAAAACCUAAUACAUCACCCUUUUUUCUACCUUUUCCAUCAUUUCUUCCCUUUUAUUAACCAAUCAAUACCAUAAAGCACUAAAACAUUUCCUUUCAUAUUUAAUUAGCCAAUUAAUUGGCUAAUUAAACCUAAAAUAAAAACCUAAAAAUCCCAUAGUAGCCGGCCAUAUUCCCUCCCAUCUUUUUCCCUACCUUUUUUAUUUCCUCCACUUUAUUACUCAAAUAAAGCUAAUCAUUUAAGACCCCAUUCAUUUCUAUUUUUAUUAGCCAAUAAAGGGGCUAAUAAAAACCACAAAUUCACUAAGAAAAGGAAAGGGUGUGGCCGGCCCUUCCUUGGUGAAAAUGGGGAAGCCUAAUCCUAUAAAUAGGCUCCUAUUCUCACCAAAAAUUCAUUCCAAACCUCUUGCAAAAAUUCCAAAACACUCUAAACACUAUUUCUCUCUAAAUUUCUAACUUUGGCAUCGGAGGUUCUUCGGCCAAAGCCCCCCCCCAUUCAUCGUGGGCGCGUGAGGCUUUUGGCCUUAACCUAAGGUGCUAGUUGUUUUGUAGGUGCAAAAUCGUCCAAGAUCGAAGAGGAGAAAAUUUGCAUCCACACUUUCCGCUUGGCGCUUGGUCCCUUCCCCUUCGCCCCUCCCAUCUACUUCUUCUUCCCUACUCUUAUCUACUUCUUCUUCCCCACAGCUUGCAUACAGACAAAGAGAGAGAAAGAGAAGAAGGAGAAGAAGAAGAGCCGCAGAAAGAGGGCAAAGGGGAAAAGGUUUUGUUAUGGGCUACUGGGUGAGAAGAAGAUAGAGGUUUGAUUCUCCAAUUUUCCUGUUUUUUAUUUUAUUUAUGGGAUUAAUAUGUUUGAAUUCUGAGAAAUCGUUCAACCCUUUUCGCUAAGGUUCUAAUCCUCUGUUUGUUUACACCCAUUUGAAAUUGUAGAAUCUAGGGCAAGCAAGGACAGCGGUCAUCGAUGGAUCUAAAGUCGAACUGGGUGACCUCGAAGAUAACUUCAUGGGUAUGUUUAAUUUUUGUUUUGGUGAAAUGGGUAUGUUUUGAAUAGUUGUUUUCAUGUUUGAUUACUGUUUUUUCAGUGUUUUAUGCAUUUUGGUUGUCAGAUUUUUGGUAGUUGAUGAAUCCAAUGUUAGGAAAUCGAAAGUGAACUGUGUUCGCCUAUUUCUCCAAGAAUUGCUUAAAUUUAGCUUUGUAUCUCGAUUUUUCGAUUAUGUUCUACCACAAAGAUUGUCAAUUUUGUGUGUAAUGUUUUGUCAGUUUUGUCUGUAAUUUUAGUUUUCUUCAGUCAGUAGUGGCUAAGUGGUACGAGCGGGUGGUAGGUGAUUAGCGUCGUUGAAAUUGUUUAUGUACUUUGCAAUGGCAUUAGUCUGGUGUACUAAGCUGCAAAUUUUGAUUAGAAAAGUAGUAUGAAAGACAGAAUUGUGUGUCUCAGCAUGCUCAUCUAUUUCCUAUCAAGUGUUCUUCCUAAUGUUAUUACUUUGUGAAAUGAUCAAAUGAGGAUUACUUCCUAGUCUGAGCAAACACCAAAUUGGUAAACAGUACUGUUUUCAUUAUCCUGCUUCUUAGUUUGACAUUGCACCAAACGCUUCACUAAGCUAGUCUAAGCCAGUCCAGCUUAGUCCCUACAGCUAGUCCAGUCCGAGACAGUCUAAUGCAACAAACGCACCCUAAUAGUACUGCAAUAGUUGUAUUAAUUUUGCUUCAAUAACAUGAUUGGUAGGGGUGGGUUCAAAAAACCGAAAAUCGAAAACCGAACCAAACUGAAACUGAAAAAAUCGAACCGAAUCGAAUUCUUUUGGUUCGGUUUCGGUUUUAGUGGUUUAAAAACUGAACCACAACAACAACAACAAAGCAUUUUCCCACUAAGUGGGGUCGGCUAUAUGAAUCCUAGAACGCCAUUGUGCUCGGUUUUGUGUCAUGUCCUCCGUUUGAUCCAAGUACUCUAAGUCUUUUCUUAGAGUCUCUUCCAAAGUUUUCCUAGGUCUUCCUCUACCCCUUCGGCCCUGAACCUCUGUCCAGUAGUGACAUAUUCGAACCGGAGCGUCAGUGGCCUUCUUUGCACAUGUCCAAAUCACCGGAACCGAUUUUCUCUCAUCUUUCCUUCAAUUUCGGCUACUCCUACUUUACCUCGGAUAUCCUCAUUCCCAAUCUUAUCCUUUCUCGUGUGCCCACACAUCCCACGAAGCAUCCUCAUCUCCGCCACACCCAUUUUUUGUACGUGUUGAUGCUUCACCGCCCAACAUUCUGUGUCAUACAACAUCGCUGGCCUUAUUGCCGUCCUAUAAAAUUUUCCCUUAAGCUUCAGUGACCUAUGACGGUCACACAACACGCCGGAUGCACUCUUACACUUCAUCCAUCCAGCUUGUAUUCUAUGGUUGAGAUCUCCAUCUAAUUCUCCGUUCUCUUGCACGAUAGAUCUUAGGUAGCGAAAACGGUCGCUUUUUGUGAUCUUCGCUAGAUUGCUCCGGUCCUUAGUAUGGAUAAGUAUAUAAAUGGAUAGAGAUAGGAAAGCGAACACAAGAUGUACGUGGUUCACCCAGAUUGGCUACGUCCACGGAAUAGAGGAGUUCUCAUUAAUUGUGAAGGGUUUACACAAGUGCAUAGGUUUAAGCUCUCCUUUAGUGAGUACAAGUGAAUGAUUUAGUACAAAAGACAUUAGGAAAUAUUGUGGGAGAAUGAUCUCGUAAUCACGAAACUUCUAAGUAUCGGAGUGUGGUAUCGUCUUGACGUGCCUUAUCUGUCUCAUAGGUAGAUGGGGCAUCUUCUCUGGAAGUACUCUUCCUCCAUCCCGGGGUGGUAUCUUUAACUGGUGGAGAUACACAAGGUAAUGUAUCAAUUUCACUUGAAGCUUACUUGUAGUUUCAGGCUUGGUCAAGCGCGAUACAAACCAUGUAGUAGGAGUCCCUCAAGUCGCCGAGCUAGGGGAUCUGCUGAAAGAGGUGACAGACAAGGUAAGCAAUCAUAGCUCCGGCUGAUUGUUCACAGUCUCCCUAUCUCUCAGGCAGCAUGAAGGAUAAAGAGAAGAAAAUGAGAAGAGAUGAUAUAUGAUACUUUUGCUUUUGAAGAAGUAACUUUCCACAGGCUUAUUCUUGAACUGAGCUGGAGGGUUUUCUGGUUUCCUCUAAAGUAUAAGGCCGACUAAAGAAUUUGAGGGUCAAAACAAGUCCAUCAAAUCUAGAGUACGUUCGACCCUGCUGAUAUGGGAUACUUUUGCUUUGACAGAGUAAUGGAUGUAUCGGCACGUGUGCUGUUACGCUUGUCUCCACAUGCUUCCUUGUAUCCUUCUCCCUUGCCCUAUCUGUUCCUCAGGCAGAUGCGGUAUCUUCUCUGGAAGCAUAAGAUGUUGAAGAUGAGUACUCGAGAGCAAUGUCAGGUAAGUAAUCAGGUAAGGGGUUCCAGGCAGUCAGUUCCUGGCUGGAAGCUUGAUUCCAAGUAGUACUGACUGAUUGCUCUCUUUCUCCUUGUCUUGCAGGUAAGAACAAGGUCCAAGGAAAAGACAGGGAAAAAGCAUGAUAUGGGAUACUCUUGCUUUUAACCCUGAUGAUAUGAGAUAUUCUUGCUCUAGUAUAGCUUGUUUGCAGAGGGAUUAUCGGGGGGAAAGAAAGCUGAAUAUUUCGAAAGGCUUCGUUGGGAGUGCCCUCUCAGAUAUGAGGAAGGGUUGAGCAUUUUUGCAGGUCUGCCUGUCCGUUGGGGAUGGAGGUCGACAUAUAUAGGAGUCUCCUUAACAACAAGUAGUAAUGCUAUUCCUUUACCCUACUUGGUCAUAGCACGGUAGUGGGAGCCGUCAGCUUCACAUGUUUUAACGCUGUCAGAGCACUUUGAAAAAGUGGUUUGUGGUAUCUGGAAAGCUGAUGUUGCGUGUGAAGAUUACAGACAGCUUUAUCCAAGGAGAUCCGGCUCUUGAAGUUGGGAAAGUGUUGCCUCUUCGGUUUUCGAACAAGCAAUCCUAUCGGGGAUCUGGCUCUCGAGAUUCGGAGAACGAUGUCUCUUCGAUUUUUGAGAAAGCAAUCAUGCUGGGGGUCUGGCUCUCGAGAUUCGGAGAGCGAUGUCUCUUCGAUUUUUGAGAAAGUAAUCAUGUUGGGAGUCUGGCUCUCGAGAUUCGGAGGGCGGUGCCUCUUCGGUUUUGGAGCAAGCAAUCUUGUUGGGAGUGUUUUCGAAUGUGAGUAAAGGUUGGGCAUGUUUGCUAGUCUACCUUGCCACGAAGCACAGAGGUUGACACACAUGGACUUUCCAAUUAUCCAGCAAUGGUACUGUUCCUUUACCCUCUUCGAUUUUUGAGAAAGUAGUCAUGUUGGGAGUCUGGCUCUCGAGAUUCGGAGGACGGUGCCUCUUCGAUUUUGGAGCAAGCAAUCUUGUUGGGAGUGUUUUCUCGAAUGUGAUUAAAGGUUGGGCAUGUUUGCUAGUCUACCUUGCCAUGAAGCACAGAGGUUGACACACAGAGACUUUCCAAUUAUCCAGCAGUGGUACUGUUUCUUUACCCUUGUGGGUAAUAAUAUGGUAGCUAGACCUUCAAAAUUUAUGUGUCUAAACUUUGUUAGUGUUGUUUCUUUGCUAUUCUUUUACCCUUCUUGGUCAGAGCGAUGUAGUGGGAGCUGCAAGCUUCACGUGUCAACUUUGGCAAAGUUAUAUGUGGUACCCAUGAGCUACUGUUGCGUGUGGGAUGAUUGAACAGUAAAACUCAUGUGCUUUCUACUUCACCAGAAGUCUUCGACCGAAUGCCCAUAAUUUCCGCAAAGUUGAGUGUGCGUGUGACAGGUGCUGACAAGGCUGGAAAAGUAGGUGCCUCUUCGAUUUCUGAGAUCGGCCCUCGUGGUCUCUGAGCAGCCCAGCUUUUGAGAAAGCAAGCGCCUCUUCGAUUUCUGAGAUCGGCCUUCGUGGUCUUUGCGCAGCCCAGCUUUUGAGAAAGCAAACGCCUCUUCGAUUUCUGAGAUCGACCCUCGUGGUAUCUGAGCAGCCUUGCUUUUGAGAAAGCAAACGCCUCUUCGAUUUCUGAGCAGGCGCCUCUUCGAUUUCUAAAGCUCCGUCGAGUGCAGAUUUUUAUAGGGGCUGGCAUUAAGUUCCAAAGCACACUUGAAUCUCCACCAGUAGAAGAUCCAUUCUUGCACUUCUAAGAUCUUGAUUUGUCUGACCUCUUCACUCUUCAACACUUUUGAAAAUGUCUGGCCCCUCCGACCGUCGUUUUGACUUGAACCUUGUUGAAGAGGCAGCCCCGCCUUCUCCUGACAACAUAUGGCGUCCAUCCUUCGUCUCCCCUACUGGUCCUCUUACCGUUGGGGAUUCCGUGAUGAAGAAUGAUAUGACCGCUGCGGUGGUGGCCAGGAACCUUCUCACUCCCAAAGAUAACAGACUACUUUCCAAACGGUCUGAUGAGUUAGCUGUUAAGGAUUCUCUGGCUCUCAGUGUUCAGUGUGCAGGUUCUGUGUCUAAUAUGGCCCAACGCCUAUUUGCUCGAACCCGCCAAGUUGAAUCAUUGGCAGCUGAAGUGAUGAGUCUCAAACAGGAGAUUAGAGGGCUCAAGCAUGAGAAUAAACAAUUGCACCGGCUCGCACAUGACUAUGCUACAAACAUGAAGAGGAAGCUUGACCAGAUGAAGGAAUCUGAUGGUCAGGUUUUACUUGAUCAUCAGAGAUUUGUGGGUUUAUUCCAAAGGCAUUUAUUGCCUUCGUCUUCUGGGGCUGUACCGCGUAAUGAAGCUCCAAAUGAUCAACCUCUGAUGCCUCAUCCUUCUAGGGUUCUGUCCAGUACUGAGGCUCUGAAUGAUCCCCCUCCGAUGCCUUCUCUUUCUGGGGCUCUACCGACUGCUGAGACUUCUCCUAAGCAACCUUUGUGAAGGCUCCUUCUUGUUUGUUUAUUUUGACUUAUGUAUAUGUACAUAUUUGUAGCUUAUCGGGGAUAUCAAUAAAUAAGCUUUCCUUCAUUUCAACGUAUUGUGUUAAAUACACCAAAGCCUUCUUCGCUAAGUUCUUUGAAUUUUCUUUUGUUGAAGCUUUGUGAGUGGAGCAUGUAGGUUGAGGUAGUGUUCCCUUAAUUUCCUGAGUGAGGAAAACUUCUCGAUUGGAGACUUGGAAAAUCCAAGUCACUGAGUGGGAUCGGCUAUAUGGAUCUUAGAACGCCAUUGUGCUCGGUCCUGUGUCAUGUCCUUCGUUAGAUCCAAGUACUCUAAGUCUUUUCUUAGAGUCUCUUCCAAAGUUUUCCUAGGUCUUCCUCUACCCCUUCGGCCCUGAACCUCUGUCCCAUAGUCGCAUCUUCUAAUCGGAACGUCAGUAGGCCUUCUUUGCACAUGUCCAAACCACCGUAACCGAUUUUCUCUCAUCUUUCCUUCAAUUUCGGCUACUCCUACUUUACCCCGGAUAUCCUCAUUCCUAAUCUUAUCCUUUCUCGUGUGCCCACACAUCCAACGAAGCAUCCUCAUCUCCGCUACACCCAUUUUGUGUACGUGUUGAUGCUUCACCGCCCAACAUUCUGUGCCAUACAGCAUCGCCGGCCUUAUUGCCGUCCUAUAAAAUUUUCCCUUGAGCUUCAGUGGCAUACGGCGGUCACACAACACGCCGGAUGCACUCUUCCACUUCAUCCAUCCAGCUUGUAUUCUAUGGUUGAGAUCUCCAUCUAAUUCUCCGUUCUUUUGCAAGAUAGAUCCUAAGUAACGAAAACGGUCGCUCUUUGGUAUUUCUUGAUCUCCGAUCCUCACCCCUAACUCGUUUUGACCUCCAUUUGCACUGAACUUGCACUCCAUAUAUUCUGUCUUUGAUCGGCUUAUGCGAAGACCUUUAGAUUCCAACUCUUCUCUCCAAAGGUUAAGCUUUGCAUUUACCCCUUCCUGAGUUUCAUCUAUCAACACUAUAUCGUCUGCGAAAAGCAUACACCAAGGAAUAUCAUCUUGAAUAUGUCCUGUUAACUCAUCCAUUACCAACGCAAAAAGAUAAGGACUUAAGGAUGAGCCUUGAUGUAAUCCUACAGUUAUGGGAAAGCUUUCAGUUUGUCCUUCAUGAGUUCUUACGGCAGUCUUUGCUCCUUCAUACAUAUCCUUUAUAGCUUGGAUAUAUGCUACUCGUACUCAUUUCUUCUCUAGAAUUCUCCAAAGAAUGUCUCUUGGGACCCUAUCAUACGCUUUCUCCAAAUCUAUAAAGAUCAUGUGUAAAUCCUUUUUCCCAUUUCUAUAUCUUUCCAUCAAUCUUCGUAAGAGAUAGAUUGCCUCCAUGGUUGAGCGCCCUGGCAUGAACCCGAAUUGGUUGUCCGAAACCCGUGUCUCUUGCCUCAAUCUAUGCUCAAUGACUUUCUCCCAGAGCUUCAUUGUAUGACUCAUUAGCUUAAUACCCCUAUAGUUCAUGCAAUUUUGUACGUCGCCCUUAUUCUUGUAGAUAGGCACCAAAGUGCUCGUUCGCCACUCAUUUGGCAUCUUCUUCUCGUUUUCAAAAUCCUAUUGAAAAGGUCAGUGAGCCAUGUUAUACAUGUCUCUCCCAAAACUUUCCACACUUCGAUUGGUAUAUCGUCUGGGCCUAUUGCUUUUCUAUGCUUCAUCUUCUUCAAAGCUACAACCACUUCUUCCUUCCGGAUUCGACGAUAAAAAGAGUAGUUUCUACACUCUUCUGAGUUACUCAACUCCCCUAAAGAAGCACUCCUUUCAUGUCCUUCAUUGAAAAGAUUAUGAAAAUAACCUCUCCAUCUGUCUUUAACCGCGUUCUCUGUAGCAAGAACCUUUCCAUCCUCAUCCUUGAUGCACCUCACUUGGUUUAGGUCCCUUGUCUUCUUUUCCCUUGCUCUAGCUAGUUUAUAGAUAUCCAACUCUCCUUCUUUGGUAUCUAGUCGUUUAUACAUAUCGUCGUAAGCCGCUAACUUAGCUUCUCUCACAGCUUUCUUCGCCUCUUGCUUCGCUUUUCUAUACCUUUCACCAUUUUCAUCGGUCCUAUCCUUGUAUAAGGCUUUACAACAUUCCUUCUUAGCCUUCACCUUUGUUUGUACCUCCUCAUUCCACCACCAAGAUUCCUUUUGGUGUGGGGCAAAGCCCUUGGACUCUCCUAAUACCUCUUUUGCUACUUUUCGGAUACAACUAGCCAUGGAAUCCCACAUUUGGCUAGCUUCCCCAUCUCUAUCCCACACACACUGGGUGAUUACUUUCUCUUUGAAAAUGGCUUGUUUUUCUUCUUUUAGAUUCCACCAUCUAGUCCUUGGACACUUCCAAGUCUUGUUCUUUUGUCUCUCACUCUUUUGAUAUGUACAUCCAUCACCAACAAGCGAUGUUGAUUAGCCACGCUCUCUCCUGGUAUAACUUUGCAAUCCUUACAAGUUAUACGAUCCCCUUUCCUCAUUAGAAGAAAAUCUAUUUGUGUUUUUGACGACCCACUCUUGUAGGUGAUCAUAUGUUCUUCUCUCUUCUUAAAGAAGGUGUUGGCUAAGAAGAGAUCAUAUGCCAUUGCAAAAUCCAAGAUAGCUUCCCCAUCCUCGUUUCUCUCCCCAAAACCAUGGCCACCAUGAAAACCUCCAUAGCUGCCUGUCUCCCUGCCCACGUGUCCAUUUAAAUCUCCUCCGAUAAAUAACUUCUCCGUCUGAGCAAUUCCUUGCACCAAGUCUCCAAGGUCUUCCCAAAAUUUCUCCUUCGAACUCGUAUCCAACCCUACUUGAGGUGCGUACGCACUAAUCACAUUGAUAAGUUCUUGUCCUAUUACAAUCUUGAUUGCCAUGAUUCUAUCUCCUACCCUCUUGACAUCUACAACAUCUUGUGUCAAGGUCUUGUCCACGAUGAUGCCAAACACCGUUUCUCGUUUUUUUUUGUGCUCGAAUACAAAGUUUAAAACUUGAGUUUUCUAGAUCCUUUGCCUUACUACCAACCCACUUAGUUUCUUGUAGGCACAUAAUAUUUAUCCUUCUCCUCACCAUAACUUCCACUACUUCCAUAGAUUUUCCCGUUAAGGUUCCUAUAUUCCACGUUCCUAAACGCAUUUUGCUCUCUUGAACUCUACCCUUCUGUCCUAGCUUCUUCACCCUCCCCCGUCUAAUAAGAUCAAAGUACUUCUUUUGUGUGUCCCGUGUAAAGUUGAUAGGAGCAUAUGCUCCCAAACAACUUUGAGUGGAGUCGUUCGAAAAGAAGUUUCUAUGACCCCCUUGCUCAUUUAACACUGCAUCCGGGUGCCGAUGGAGAUACAGCGACCCUUGCUCACUUAUCACUGUGCUCGGGCCACACAGCGCGCCACUUACGGGUGACGCCCUAGCUUUAGCGCAAUUUUGUUCUGAAUUCAUUUUCAUAAGGAUUCGACGUGAUCAUGGAGUGCCGGCUGUCGACUACCUGACGCUCUCCCCCUCCUCCUUUAUCCGGGCUUGGGACCGGCAAUGUAAGUACAUAGGCGGAGUUUUAAAAACUGAACCGAACCGAAUUAAUUAAAUUAUUUUUUUUUAUUUUUUUUAAUUUAAUUAUCUAUUUUGGGUAUUAUUUUCUAAACCCAAUUUGUAAGCUCAAUGUGUUGCCAAACUUUAAAUCCAAAAUAUUAAAAAUAAAGCCUUUAGAAACUCGAAACCCAAACUUUAAGCUCAAAAUAUUGUUUCUUUACCCAUAUCCAGAUUAAAAAAAAAAAAAAAAAAACAAGAUGAAACAUGAAAACAAGAGUAAACUGUACUAUAUGCAUGCCACAUUUCAAAUAUUAUUUUGCAUUGGAUAUGUAUUUCUCUAUGUAUAGCAAACCUGCAGCAAAUAACAAUCAUUAGGAUGAUAAUAGGCGUAUAUUCCUUUCCCAUCUCAUUGAUCUCCUAUGCAAUAUAUAACCCAACCACCCACGGAUAAUGCAAGGAAAGCCAUAAGCUUCUCGGAGAGAAUUUAUAAAUCACAGGUUGAUGAGUGUUCUCCGCUUGGAUGGACGUCAUUCCAUGAUGAUGGUUUUUCUUGCAUACAUGGAAUAAGAGCCUAUUGUUCCAGGUAGUCAUGAAAACAGCUUGAUUUGAUAUUCAUUUGUUCUAGUAGGUAGGUUUUAGUAAUAUAAUUUAUCACCAUAUUUAUCAAGUUUAAGGUCUAAACGUUAUUAUGUUUUUUUGGAAUGAUUUUAGGGCAGCUAAAUAACAUGCUAAUAUCUAGAUUUAAAAAUAAAAAAAAAUCAUGAAAAAAACCAAACCGAAUAAAAAAAAAUCGAACCGAAAAAAACCAAAAAAAAAAAUCGAACUGAACCAAACGGAAAUUUCGAUUUGAUUUCGGUUUUGGCAAAAAACCGAACCCAGCCUAAUGAUUGGUCGGUCGGGUACCCCAAUUUAGAUGAGCCGGGCAUUUUUCAACUUUUCAUUCUUCCCCUUUUCUCAAUUUAUAGGUCAAUUGUGGCAAAUCGUCUCCCCAUUUGAUGUUGUUGAUUUCCAUUCCCUUUCCCUUCUCAACUUUGUGAAACUGAUAAUUCUUCCCCUUUGAUCUAUCUGCAAGCGAAGGCUUUCUCUUUAAACACCUCUCUCCUCUUUCCAAGUACUAUGGCCGGUGAAGGGGAAGAAAAAAUCAAAGCAACUGCGGCUCAGCCUCCUAGAGGCCUACCACUAAAUUGCCUGCUGUGGCCAAAUUGGCUGCUGUGGCCAUUGUUGGUGGCGAUCGGCGCUCUAACUGUUCUUUUGGUCGCAUGGCGGACAAAAACGUAUGGCCCCGAUUUCCGAGUCCAAUCGGCCAUCGUCUCCCAACUCAACGCGACUCAGUCCCAGUUAACCGCCACCUGGGACCUGUCCGUGGUGGCCACAAACCGCAACCCCGGAAAAGUUCAGGACAUGUACAUCAAGAGACUGAUGGCGUACAUCUUCUACGGGGACAAAGAGAGGAUGAUGAUGCUGGCAGUGAAGCCGGUGGGUAUACGGCCGCGUCUCUUGUUGUCAGGCAAGAGGAACCAGGCCACAGCCAGUUUCCAACUCCAAGCGGUGGAGAUGUACGUGGGACAAAAUGUGUCCCAGGAAAUAUUGCAAGGGCUUAGUGCCCCUGGCUCUGCCUCUGGCUCUCUGGUGAGAUUUGGUCUCAAGCUCGAGGUUUGGUAUAAGGGUAUCGGCAUGGAGUCGGAUUUUAGAGCGCUCUUCUGUGACCGAGUGGUCGAUUUUGGGGUUUCUCCGGUCAAUUAUGUUAAUGAUGGGACUGGGAUUUCGACAGUGAAGGAGGGUGAGUCGACGGAAUGUUAUUAUUACGAGGCAAAGGAUUUUUAUUACUAAGAAAUAACUUGUAGAUGUUUUUUUGUUUACAAACUCGCAGUUACUAGUCUCGUAUGGAAGUUGAUUUCUUUAGGUUGAAUUGGAAAUGUUGGCAUUGCAAUGCUGCGGUUUGUUGUUCUUUUGUUGAAUGAGUAGGUUUUACUAGUCUCGUAAGGGAGUUGCUUCGUGUGACUUGAAUUGGAAAUGUUGCUUAGACUCUUGAACAGUUGAUCAUGUUCAUACUAUUGCAUCUGACUUUCCGUCAUACGGAUAGGAGGAUGCUGUGUUUAACCUAUAUUUUUAUACACAAAGCACAAUUGCUUUCGGUGAACUUGUUGGAUUCAAGAUAGAGCUCGUUAACAGCAAGCCCUCCCACGUCUCACUAUACCCUAGCUUUAUUCUUUCUUUGUAGGUAAACUGCGUUAGCUUAACAAAGUUUGUAAUCCCUCUGCACUGCCUACCAACGAGGAGUGGUUUUGCCCUUCCAGCCCAUUUUACGUCGGCAUAAUUAGUCAUGACUCAUGAAUUAUGUUAGUCUCAGAAAUUACGACCUUGGUUUUUGUUAAAUUUGUUCUCUAUCUUCCUUUCUAUUACUGCCACCCCAUCUGUCUCUGUGUGUUGAGUUUUUUCUUCGUUUUUGUUUCACCUGUUCAGGAGAUAUCCGCAACUUAUCAAGGAACUCAUCGCACCAGAACCAGGCACCGACCAUCCAUUUCCAUUUCAUCUCUUCCCUUGUAUGUGAAUCAUGUGUGAAGAUAUAAGUUAGAAAUCGAUUGCGUCAUUUUCUUGAUUAGGUUGGAAAAUCAAUUUAUUAGACAAUGGUGGUGUGGCAAAUUGAGGACAACGAUUAUUGAUAAGUUUGAUGCAUGGCUCUUUAGCUCCAGUAAACUAAAGGUGUACAGAAUCUUGUCCUGCUAACAUUAAGAAAAAAUUAUGUUUUCUAUACAGUUAGAUUAGGAAUCCUAGAAGCAGAAUUGGAAUAAGAAUAAAGGUGUACUUUCCUAUCCCAUAUAGAAUUGGAGCCUUAAUCAGAAAUAGGGUUGUAAACCGCACCUUUUUUUUUUGUACAAUUAGAUUAGUAAUCCUAGAAACAUAAUUGGAAUAAGAUAUCUCAGUAGAAACUCGGUUGAAUUCAGUAUCCCAUUAGAGGUUGCUCAAUUUACCAUCUUUCGUAUUAAAAAUAGUCAUCUUUACCUUGAGUCCAUUAUCCCGAUCGGAAGAUAGGUAAGUCCCUUAUUCCAAUUGUUGUUAUUAUUUAGUUAAAUCCGUUUAUUUUGUUUAAGAAAAUAUACAAAGAAGUGAAGAUAAUGGGUGGGAGCACAGUUUCUUUCUUGUCAACUGCUAAAUGCUUGGAAUCCCUCCUGACCUUGUUACUGCUGACUCUGAAAUUGUAUUUUAACCUCAAUUUACUCGAUUCGUUUCAUUUUAUCCUUUGAAAUUGUCAUAUAAUCGACCCCAUUUUUGUCCAUUCUCAUGAAUAUAAAGGAAUUGACAGUUUGAACAUUUCAUACCAUGUUGGCAAAGAUGAGCAAUAUUUUGGUUGGCGAUUAAUAUGAAAUUUUCAUAUUGCCAAGUUUCUACUAGUGUGAACGUAAUGGGUGAAAAGAAACAUUUUUAAUAGUUUUAGAUGAUAAAAUGAGACAAAUUCUAAAAAGCAUCCAUCCCUUGUAUCCAAAUGUGUGACUAAAAAAAUCACUUAGUACUACCGUCUAGUGGUAUUCCUCUUCAUUUGUAAGUGAGAGCUCUUAGGUUCCAUUCUCUCCAAAAGCAAAUUUGAACCACAUUAUUGCUAGCUCAUUGUGAGGCUAAGCCCAACCUCCUUAUUGUAAAAAUAUCACUGGUUUAAAAAAAAAAAAAAGUGUGACUAAAGAAUAUACCGAUAAAAAUUGUUGGGUUUUUUCCAGCCCAUGAUUAGUUGUCCUAAGUCUAUUGGGAAUUAAUAGUCUUAGAGGAUUAAAUUGUUUUCCCAAUUGGAGUUGCUUUCCCAAUUGGAGUUAUUUACCCAAUUGGAGUUAGUUUCCCAAUUGGAGUAGGUUUUAUAACUAGUUUCCAAUUAGGAUUAAUAAUCCUUAUUGAAGAAGACCUUUAUUAUGUCUAUAUAAAUGGGCUAUUGUACUAGUUUUAGGAAGGGAGCAAAACAAUAAAUUGUAUACCACUCAAGGGAUUAGAGUGAGAGAAUAUUGUAAAGUGUGUGCGAGAGAAAAGAAAAGAGAUAGUGUAUUUCUUGUUCUUGUUCUUUCAGGUUUUUCGUCAAGUCCUAGUUCUAGAGAUUUGGCAAGAUUAUUGGUUGUACUCAUUAUUGAUAUAGUGAAAGAUUGUUAUUGCUGUCCCGUGGACGUAGGCACAUAUUCCUGAACCACGUAAUUUCUUGGUGUUAUUUAUCUUGGUUAUUUGUUUUUCCCAUUCUUAAACGCGAUAUUCUCAACAAGUGGUAUCAGAGCCUGGUUCGGCUGAUAUCCGUUUAGAAUGGAGGGUUCAAUUAUGAUGAAACUCACCCGCUCCAAUUGGGUUACGUGGAAAUCAAGAAUGGAGGACAUGCUUUAUUGUAAAGAUCUCCAUGAGCCAAUUGAAGGUGUUAAGAGCAAGCCAGAAAAUAUGUCUGAUGCCAAUUGGACCAAGAUGAAUCGUAAAACUAUUGGUACGAUUAGACAAUGGGUGGACGAGAGCAUCUAUCACCAUGUGUCUAAAGAAACUGAUGCGCAAGCUCUUUGGAAGAAGUUAGAAUCCCUCUUUAAGAAGAAGACCGCUGCCAAUAAAGCAUUCCUUAUCAAAGAGCUUGUCAACAUGAAGUAUGCGGAAGAUGUUAGUGUAACCGAGCACUUGAACAACUUUCAGAACGUGAUCAAUCAGGUAGCCACUAUGGGUUUGAAUAUUGAAGAAUAGCUGCUAGCACUUUUAUUGCUAGGAUCCUUGCCAGAUAGUUGGGAAACCUUCGUCGUAACUGUAAGCAAUUCGGCUUCUAAUGGUGUAUUGUCUAUGGAUGUCGUUAAGGAUAGCAUGUUUAAUGAAGAAACAAGGAGAAAAGCUUCAGGUGCAAGCGCUGGACAACUCUUUGUCAGUGAGAAAAGAGGCAAAAGUUCUGAUGAGACGAGAUUCAAUGGCGACUGCCACUAUUGUGGGAAAAAGGGUCACAUGAAGAAGCAUUGUCGUAAAUGGAAAAAGGAACAAAAGGAUGGGAACAAUAUUGCAAGUGUUGUGACUUACGAUGAAGAGCUUCUUUAAUGCAGAUGAUUGAUGGUUUUCUAGCAAAGAAGUCUAUAGUUGCCUUUGCCAAUGAUGAUGAUAGUUCUGAUCAGGGGGAGCCUGGUCAAGAUAAAUCUAAUCAAGAGGGUCUUGGUUAAUGAGUAGUUCAAUCAAAGGGAGCUUGGUUAUGGGUAAUUCGAUCAGGGGGAGUCUGGUCAUGAAAAGUUCUAACAAUGGGAGUUUGGUCAAGAGGAGCAAUCCUAUUAUGGUAUACCUUCCUCAUGGUCUGGAGGGGGAGAUUGUUGGGUUUUUUCCAGCCCAUGAUUAGUUGUCCUAAGUCUAUUGGGAAUUAAUAGUCUUAGAGGAUUAAAUUGUUUUCCCAAUUGGAGUUGCUUUCCCAAUUGGAGUUGUUUACCCAAUUGGAGUUAGUUUCCCAAUUGGAGUAGGUUUUAUAACUAGUUUCCAAUUAGGAUUAAUAAUCCUUACUGAAGAAGACCUUUAUUAUGUCUAUAUAAAUGGGCUAUUGUACUAGUUUUAGGAAGGGAGCAAAACAAUAAAUUGUAUACCACUUAAGGGAUUAGAGUGAGAGAAUAUUGUAAAGUGUGUGCGAGAGAAAAAAAAAAGAUAUAGUGUAUUUAUUGUUCUUGUUCUUUCAGGUUUUUCGUCAAGUUCUAGUUCUAGAGAUUUGGCAAGAUUAUUAGUUGUACUCAUUAUUGAUAAAGUGAAAUAUUGUUGUUGUUGUCCCGUGGACGUAGGCACAAAUUGCUGAACCACGUAAUUUCUUGGUGUUAUUUAUCUUGGUUAUUUGUUUUUCCCAUUCUUAAACGCGAUAUUCUCAACAAAAAUUUGGCCACCCAACACAGGUUUCGCUUCCCCUUCAUAAAAAAGCAAAAUUUUUUGUUCUGUUAAAUUUGACCACCCUUGAACUAUUUAGAAAAUAGGAUUAUUUGGUCAACCUGUAGUAAACUAACCACUUGAUAUAAAUUUAGCACCACAUUCUGGAAAAACUAAUCUUUUAUAGUAACGUUUUAUAUUUGGACUUUCUUAUUCUAUUUUUUUUUUACUAUUCUUUUAUCUUGUAAUGUUGCACAAUAUCUGAACUAUCUAUUUUUAGGAUACUCUUAUUGAUUAUCUUUAUAAAAAGAUCUAACUAAAUUAGAAAUUGUUUAGUCAUCUAAAGAUUACUUAUAAAAUAGACAAAACCAUGUUUCUCACUUAACUUAAAUUUCGACAAUGUGAACCGACGGUCAAAUAAUUUUUAUUUUUAUUGAUUUUUGCAGAGUUGAAGUUUACUAAUGUAUCUAAAAAUUAUAUAGUUCCUAUCAUCAAGCACGAUAAAAAAGAAAGCUGAAAAUGUAAACGAGAAAAUUCAAGUGAAAAGUAAUGAGAAAAUUCGAGUAAAAAGGUUAUUAGAAUUCCAUCUUUCUUUAAUACAUCAAAGACCUUGUAACCUAUUUUUCUAGAGGUUAUUCGAGCGAUACUCCAACUCAUCUUGCAUGGUUAAAUUCUAAACUCCUUAAAAACUCAGUAAUCAGUAAUAUGUCUAAAAUUUAGCUACUUUAAAAUAAAUAAAUAAAUUCAAUCAAGAGACGUAUGAUAGGAUAUCAACAUAUACUGGUGGCUGCACUUAUACAUUUCAUGACGCGAACAUGCACGGAGCAAUAAGGGCGAAGCAAAGUAGAUUAAUGAAAGAAAAACCAUCAAAGAUUGUGAAGGUUCGUAAAAAAAAAUGCUUAAAAAGUUCAUCUCAAGGACUAAUUUUUCACGUUCCCUGUAUCUAGCAGCUAGCGAUCUAUUAAUAGUACGUUUGAUAGAGAUGAUUGACUUGAAUAUAACUAUUACUACUAAGUCUCUCACUAAAUGUUAAUUUAAUUGUAGUAGGGAUAACAAUUCGAACCGUUAAACCCGAUAAUCUUAGAUAACCGUCGAAUUGAACAGAUUUGGGUAUGGAAGUUUGGGUAUAUUUUGAUUAUGGGGAAAAACUAUUUAUGUUAUUCAAUUAUGGUUUUAAAUAUGGUUACAAGGGUCCCCAAACCAUAUCCGUAACAGGAUCCGACCAGAAUAGUAAAUAAUUUAAUUUAUAUAUAAUAUAAUAUAAUCUAUAAAUAUAUUUAUAAUAUAUAAAUAUGUAUAUAUAUAUAUAUAUAUAUAUAUAUCCAUUAUUAACCAAACCAUGACCUUGAGAAUACAAAAGUUGCAUUUUCUAAGAAAGUAAAGUUUUGAAUCAAAAUCAAUGCAAACUCAAUGGUGAUUAUGGGGAAUAUCAAAGACAAGCCAACAUGAUCAGUAUUUUAAUUUUUAUACUCAACAAGAUCCAUUCAUUGGAUCUUUUUAUACAUCAAAUGUUUAAUCGCAAAAUUAAUAUCUACUAACUUAUAAUGUCUCAACUGAAUGAAUAUAUUUUUUGUAUUAACGAAGAUUGAUAUAACCGUCAACCAAUGGACAAUCCGUUACCUAGUGAAUAUGGUUAUGGAUAAUAUCCGAUGGUUAAUUUACGAUUAUGGAUAUGGUUAAUUUUCGUGGUUAUAGAGAUAAAUAUAGUAUUUCCGUCCCCAAACCGAACCAUUAUUAUCCCUAAAUUGUAGCUACGUAGUUACGUACAUUAACUUUUUUACAGUUACAAAAUUGGGCUUCACGAAUCCCCGUCCUGUGCACUACAAUUGUACUGGAUAUAAUCCAACUACAAUUGAUACCUAGUUACGGUCCAAACUUGUAAACAGCCUGCCAUGUAGACUAUAUCAUAGGAUUUCGAGUUCAGUUAUUUUAACCUAAAAGGGAAUUUCUCUGGAUCUCUCUCUUCAAAAUCCAAAGAUUAAGUGAUCCGGACCUUUGAAAUUUGAUCUAACGAUUAAAAACAGAAAAGUUAGUAAAUAUUUUUAAAAAUUAUAAUAUUUUUUAACCGUUGGAUAAAAAAUACUGAAAACUUAAAAAUUAGAUAAAUACAUCAGUGAGUUUUGUAAGAUCAUCUAUGUUGAAAACGUCUAGAACUAAAUUUAUUAAAGUAACUUAUAUAUUGUGAUAGAGCAUGAGAAAAACAACAUAAAUACAAAUUGGAUAUAAUAAGGUAUAAUUGUUUGGUGACGUAAAAAAAAGUAUUGGUUGAUUCUAAAGAAAGUGAAAUAUGUUAAAAUUAAAGUAAUUGAAAAGGAAGUGUCAUUGAAUGAAACUGAAAAAUGUAGUAAAGUUAAUAGAUUUUUGAGUUCAAAAUUUGAUGUCAUUGUUUAGGUAUUUUGGUGUAAAUGGUAGACUUCAAUCUAAAAGUGAUAUGAUACGCGAAAAAAGAUGGAUAAGAUAUAUCUAAUUCGGUGGCUCUUAAUUAAAACAAACAGUACCAUAGUUCACCAAUGUGACAGUGCACUGUGUGUGCAAGAUUGGGGAUGUGUGUAGACGUACUUAUGCUACCAAAAAAUCUAAGCAGAAUUGAUUACUGACUUUAACAACUAAAAUCAAAUACAACUUUUCAAAAAUAAAUCAAGACCAUGGGCACAAUUUGUCAAUGAAAUGAUUCUAAGUGAUACGUUUACAGGUAGGAGAUGACAGUUAUUUGUAUUGCAUAUCUUAGCAAAAUAAGUGGAUAUCAAGGAGAAUUAGAUUUAUUCAAUUUCGAUGCAAAGAAAAUGAAUUAAUGCAGGAACACUAGUACAAAAAAGGCUUUGGGCGACGUAGGACCUUCGUAGUGCAAAGUCAAAAAAACGUCGCGCAAAACGUAGGACAACGAACCCGCGUCGCGCACCGACCGUCGCGUCAAGGCAGUGAAGGAAGUGUUUGCGCGACGCAGAAGUGACCUACGUCGCUCAAAACCACUUCGCGCGAUGUAGGUCUUCGUCGCGCAAAACCACUUAGCGCGAUGUAGACCUUUGUCACGCAAAACCGCUUAGCACGACCUAGGUCUAUGUCGCUCAAAACGUAGGACAACGAACCCGCGUCGCGCACCGACCGUCGCGUCAAGGCAAUGAAGGAAGGGUUUGCGCGACGCAGAAGUGACAUACGUCGCGCAAAACCACUUCGCGCGACGUAGGUCUUCGUCGCGCAAAACCACUUAGCGUGCCACUUAGCACGACGUAGGUCUAUGUCGCGCAAAACCACUUCGUGCGACGUAAACCUUCGUCGCGCAAAACAACUUAGCGCGACAUAGGUCUGCGUCGCGCAAAACCACUUAGCACGACGUAGGUCUAUGUCGCGCAAAACCACUUCGCGCGAUGUAAACCUUCGUCGCGCAAAACCACUUAGCACGACAUAGGUAUGCGUCGCGCAAAACCACUUCGGGCGACGAAGGUUUACGACGCUCUACGUCGUGCAAUUUUUUCUUUUUUUUUUAUUUAGGGCAAAGAAAUUUUUUAUUUAAUUUUUAAUAAAUAUUGUAAUUAAAUUCUAAACAAUAAUUAAUAAACCAAGAAAAAGUAUUUAAUUAUACAAUAUAUGAAAAUGUACAUACAAGAUAUCCGAACAAAAAAGAAAAACUACAGGUCUUUAGGUUUAAUAUAUCAUGCUACUAGGUAUCGACUGGGCGAAGUGGCUAAGAAGUCGAAGGUGGAGCAAGAUUAGUUUCUGGCAUCGGGAUUUGGAGGCCAGACAUCGCUAAGGCCUGAACAAUCAUAUUCAUCCUCUCGUUCUGGGCCACAAGCUGACCUCUUAGGGUUGUCACUUCCUCCUUCAGGGAAUUGACCUCUACUGUGGACGAUCUGGAAGAAGAUGCACCCGUCUCACGAACCCCCGCCUUCCCCAUACACCGAACAACCUUGCCAUGACGACGACCCAACUUCUGAUCCAGGACCUCAGUCACGAUCUUAAGAUCUGCAUCCUCAGGUACAAUGACGUCCUCGAUCGGGGUCUCUGGUGGAAGCUGCGAUGUUGCUUCUUGGAGAAUAGCAGUGCUCUUUUCCACCAUAUCGCCCUGUAAUAAUAAAGAAAAAACAUAUAAUGUUUAAUAACAAAAUAUAAAUAAUAUUUGAACAAUUCAUAAAAAUAAGAAUAAUAACAAUUACAUAUACUUACAAGAAGCUGCUCAGCGUUCUCUUUGCCGGGUCGAACGUAAACGUCCUUUAACUAAUUAACUUACUAGCCCCUACUGUAAAUUUCACACCUAUGCUCAAAACAGAUUUUGUAACCAAUAUCCCAAAAAAGGGGCAAAAGGAAAGAAAAAAAACCUUUGUAUGGUAUACUGCAGCAUUAUCUGUGUAACCGAACUCAACCCAACAAUCUCCUUGUACACUUGGAAAUCUGUAAAAGAUUUUAUGGCUACAGAAGAAGGACCAGGAUCCUCUCCUGAGCUAAGGAUGAGGAUCCUCCUCAUCAAGAGAUGUGGGUUGUUGGAUGAAAAUCCAACGGCUAUAAUUAUUAUAACUUUAAAGGGACCUCCUGUUUGUAGCCGUUGGAUUUUUAUCCAUCCAACGGCCCACACCAAUUGAUGAGGAGGAUCCUCAUCCUUUGCUCAGGAGAGGAUCCUGGUCCGCAGAAGAAAAUAUAUCAUGCAGUAUUAAUGAAGACUCUAGUAUUUUUCCCAAGUGAAUACACAUGAAAAGUAUCAAAGAGAGAAGAAAAAAGUAUCAAAAUAAGAACUACACCUGUGUCCCAUAAUUUGGGCAGACAUGUAUUUUGCUACCGAGGCAAAAUUCUCAAUAACCCAAGCAUCAGCCUAUCAGAUUAAGAAAUAUUCAUGAGGGAAAAAGUAAGCUUAAACAUGAUUUCAUAUGUAUGAACUCACUUUUUAAGAUUAAUUAUUCAUCUGGAAAUGGUUUGAGUUAUAAAACCUGACUCUUAUCAAAUAGCUGGGAUCAAAUCUCAAGAAAAUUCAUUCCUAGAAAUCAUUUCUACGCAAGAGUUGUUUCCAUGCUUUUUCACCUGGGUUUUCAUUCGAUUUCAAUUUUUUAAGUAAAAAUUUAUACCACCCGCAUCUACAAUGCUAAAAACUGAGAAGGUAGGCACACAUUUGAAUUUAUAGCCUAAAUCAGCAUCGCACUAUUAAAUCACGUUAUUAAGUCGCAACAGAAACAUUGAAAAACAUAUGAACUGAUGCCCAACUCUAAUUAAUCCAACAUUAGUAGCUGCCUAAUUCAACAUUAAGAGUUGAUAAGAGAGUAUAUAAAUCCCAAAUCACAAACGCCCCACAUUUGAACAAAGCAAAGACGCCAGAUAUGGAUCCCAAAGAACUCAUCAGGAAGCCCUGGCUUUCGUGGGUAAGAAAUUCUUCAAAUCAAAGCAAAAAAACUAAAGAUGGUUACCUAAAUUCAAUAAAAAUUAAAAUAUAAUUACUCUUCAGCAUGCAUGCUUUUUUUUUCAGGAAUCAUAAAAACUUGAAAAUAUCCCAAACAGUUCCUUACACCUCAUGUAUUCAACAGAGCUUGAAUUUCUAAAGGGAAGACUUGAAAUCAUAUAUGUAAGAGACAGAGCUUUCUAAAAUCCUAAUAACUUCACAUAUUAUCAAUUUCCCAACAAAAUACAUAGGUUCCAGCACUAACAACAUAAAAACUUUUAAAAUUGCAAUCUAAACUAAUGUUUUCUCUCUUCCUCUCCCUGUCCGUAUUCCCUCUAUCACAUAAAAGGCAUAAACACAAAGCUUUCUAAAAUUCCAAGGACUCGUCUCAUUUCUUCCAAAAAAAUACAAAUCCAUUUUCAUCCAACUAUUGUCAGUACAUCCCCAAACUGGAAAAAAGCAGAAGGACAGAAAACGUACCCAAAAUAUAACAGCAGCGUCACAGGUGCUUUGAAUAUUUUCUCAAUUUAUUUAUGGGUGUGUAAGUUAGAGACUCGGCACAAAAGUUCAUCCCCAAAUUCAAAAACUCUUUAUUUAAAAAAACAAAUAUUAGUACAUGUUUUUUUUGUUUGUUAUUUUUUAAUUAAAUAUAUAAAAGUGAGAGGCAGAUGACAGUCUGUAAGCUUGUAAUUUUAAAUUAAAUAAAUAAAGUGCAAGGUAGAAGGUAGUCAAUGGCGUAGCCAGAAAUUAUUCGAUGGGUGGGCUAAGCUAAAAUUAUAACUACGAAAUCAAAUUUUUAAUCCUAUGUUGCCUACAUAAAGUUAUAUAAUAGUAAAAACUUGAAUGUAGUAAUUUGAAGCAAGAAUUUUAUGCUAUGAUUUCUAGGUUUCAAGCCUUCAAAGCUUUCAAGUGAAUAAAAUAGGGAACUUUAACAAAAAGCACCCGGUACUGUUCAAUUUAACGAAAAACCACAUUUUUACACUAAAAAGUCAAUCCUGGUACUAUUCACUUUACCCUUUAUUUUGUCCUUAUCAUUAAAACUCAAAGUUUUCAAGCCAUUUUCAUUAGUUUUCCUAAUAAAAUAAGCAACCAUUUGUGGUAUGAAAGUUUUAAUGUAUUACUAUUAAACAUAAUAUUGGUUAAAGUGAUGAGUUUAUUUAACAUCUAUUAGCUCUUACUAUUCUUCAAACAGUCUUACUAGUAAAAAAAAUCAUUUGUUAAGUGAAAUAUGACAAUUAAAAAUCAUAAACAAACCCAAAAAUUAAUAUUUUUAAACUUGAAGAACCAAACUCUCCAUAUGCUAUAGCCCAGGGGAGCCUUGUACUUGGCUCCGCCCUUGAAGGUAGUGUGUAGGCGAAAAAUGCUUUUGUUUCUCAGCCACACGCAUCCACGACACCCUGCAGUCAAUGGAGGCCGACCUAGUCAGGAAAAGAAACAACCCUUUUUUUUUUUGGUUUUUGAUCAUUCUAUGUUGUAUCAUUAUGUACUUGCUAGGAAUUUCAUGGAUAACCAAGGACCCGGUAAUCCAACAGCCGAACGAUGGGCUCGGUGCAUGUUGUGGUACUGUUUCUUGCAUUCACAUUUGGGCUGAUUGUUCACUUUAAUAAGGCUAAGGGUAUUGUUAAGAAGGGAUACUGGGACAUCUAUAUUUUACUGUUGUAACUUAACAACAGUAGGAUAUGGAGACUACGUUCCCAAUACGGGUACUUCGAAGUGGUUCAAAGUAUUAGUCGAAGUGGUUCACAGUAUUAGUCGCAGUGGUUCUGGAAAAUCCAAGUAUGUGUACCAUCAAUACAAUAAUAGGUGAGCUCAUAUCUUGGAUUGUUUCCAAAAGUAGAUUUUAUCAAAGGCCUAGGUAGCAUCAGAUCGGUUUGGCAACAUUUUGUAUGUUUCUCCUGGUGGUAAUCAUAGGGCUUGCAGUAAUACGCCUAUGGGAGGCGAAGCAGAGGGCAUAUUAUGCAAAGGGUAUAUUACUUUAACGUUAUAUCGUUGAUGACGAUUGGGUACAACGAUUUUGUGUUCAAGUCUACUAGUGGACAACUUUUCACUUCGUUUUAUCUGCUAAUUGGACCACUGCUGGUCGUCUGAUAUUUAGACUUCCUAGUUGGCUCUUUUCUCCAACAGUGGACUGGGUAAUUAAAUUUACUUUAUUUUCGUAUACCAUAUGUUAUGUUUGUGUGACUCUUUGAAGUAAAGUUUAUAAUUUUUCUUGAUAUAUAGACCAAAUUUAGAACAACAGUUAUAUGACGCCAGGGUAGCUAUAGUAGUUGAUCAAAGCUCUUCCCUGGUGUCGUAUAACUGGUGUUCUAAGUUUGUUCUGCGUAUCAAGAAAAAUUAUAAACUUUACUUCAAAGAAUAACAUAAGGUAUAUGUAAAUAAAGUAAAUGUAAUUACCCCAUCCAUUGUCCAAGAAAAGGGCCAACUAGGAAGUCCAAAUAUCGGACUACCAGCAGUGGUCCAAUUAGCAGAAAAACGAAGCGAAAAGUUGUCCACUAGUAGACUUGAACGCAAAAUCGCCGUACCCAAUUGUCAUCAACGAUAUAACGUUAAAGUAAGAUACAUUUGCAUAAUUCAUAUUUUUUGUAUUCUUGUUAUCCACAGUUGUCUGCUUCGCCUCCAAUAGGCGUAUUACUGCAAGCCCUAUGAUUACCACCAGGAGAAAAAUACAAAAUGUUGCCGAACCGAUUUGAUGAUGCCUAGGCCUCUGAUAAAAUCUACUCUUGGAAACAAUCCACGAUAGGAGCUUACCUAUGAUUUUAUUAAUGGUACAUAUACUUGGAUUUGCUAGAACAACCACGACUAAUACUGUGAACCACUUCGAUGUACCCGUGUUGGGAACGUAGUCUCCAUAUCCUACAAUUGUUAUAGUAACAACCGUAAAAUACAGAGCCUCUACGAAACCCUCGAAUCCCUUCUUAACACUACCCUUAUCCUGAUUAAGGUGAACACUCAUCCCAAACUUGAAUGCAAGAACCAGUACCAUAGCAUGCACUACACCAUACACCACAGUUCUGCUGUGGUGUCGGCUGCCGGAUUAGCACAUCCUUGGUUAUCCAUGAAAAACCUAGUAAGACAUCACGACAGAACAGAAUGAUCAAAAACCAAAAGAAAAAAUGGUUGUUUCUUUUCCUCCCUAGGUCGGCCUCUACCGGAGUGGUGGAUGCAUGUGGAGGUGUGGCUGAGAAACAAAAGCAUUUUUCACCUACACACUGCCUUCUGCCUUUCACUUUUACAUUUUUUUUUGGUUAACAUACUAGCAGUUACUAGUCUCAUGGAAGUUGAUUUCUGUAGGUUGAAUUGGAAAUGUUGGCAUUGCAAUGCUGCGGUUUGUUGUUCUUUUGUUGAAUGAGUAGGUUUCAAUAAUCUCGAAAGGGAGAUGUGUGUGACUGGAAUUGGAAAUGUUGCAUUGCAAUCCUGUUUGUUGUUUUUUUGUUGAAUGACUAGUUUUUAUUUGUUUAUUUCCGUUCGACUUUUCUGCAGAAAAUAAGUCGAUCAGAUUCAGGAACUAAAUGACAGCUCUUUCUGGAACUAAAAGUGAUCUAAUUGAGAAUGAUGUCUCACUCUUUCUGUGGGUUGUUUUGGAAGUGUUGGCAUUGCAAUGCUGCAGUUUGUUGUUCUUUUGUUGAAUGAGUAGGUUUUACUAGUCUCGUAUGGGAGUUGCUUCGUGUGACUUGAGUUGGAAAUGUUUGCUUUGCUAUCCUGGUUGUUGUUCUUUUGUCAAAUGACUACUUUUGUCAAUAAAGGGACCAACUGCGUCCAAGGAUUAGGAACAAUUUGUGUCUUUAUAUUGCUACUAGUGUUGUCCAGGCCAGGAAGCACUGUUAAUAGACUCAUGAAUGGUUAAUCAUGUUCAUACUAUUGCAUCUUACUUUCAGUCAUACGGAUAGGAGGAUACUGUGUUUAACCUAUACACAAAGCACAAUUGCUUUCGGUGAACUUCUUGGAUUCAAGAUAGAACUCGUUAACAGUAAGCCCUCCUAUGUCUCACUGCAAAGCUCAUAAAACCCACCGUCCUAACCAUCCAUUAAGCAAAGCAAAAGAUUGACUGAAAAACCCAUAAAGAAAGAACACGAGAAACAAUAAGCACAUUUAUCAUUUACCUCAAGAGUCGAAGACAGAGUUGGAGAUGGUGGUUUUGUGAAGGUAAAAUCUUGAAAAAAAAAAAGGUAAAUGAGUAUAGGCUUUAAAGGUAAGUAAGCAGCUAUGAACUAAAAAACGGAGAGAAAAGGUUUGUCUUUGUACCUGGGAAGUCGAAGAAGGUGGCCGCAGGUGCGCCUGUCUAAAGCAAAAUGAGUAAUUUUGUUUAGUGGCCAAGAAUUAAGCAAUUUUGUUUAGUGGCUAAGAAUUCAGUAGUUUUAUGUUGUUUAGUGGAUAAAAAUUCAGCGGUUAUAAUUUCUAAACAAAAGUGAUUAAUUCAGCGGUUAUAAUUUCUAAACAAAAGUGAUUUAAAAAAAUUUCCUUGAGUAGAACAAGUUAUAUAUUGACUUUAACUCAUUUUAUAUAGGUGUGACGAGUUUCAAUUACUUUUCAACUCACAAUACAGAAAGAAAAGCCUGUCUAUAUAUAACUCGAAAGCCCUGGGGACCCAAAACCCAGAAAACAAGUUAAGACUAAGAGCAACCCAUAAAUCAUUGAAUCCAAACCAACUUUGAUUUUCAUAGAUCAUUGUGGAAAGUAAAUAAUUUUGAAUAAACCAUUACAUAAUCUUGUUUAUCUUGAAUUAGUGCAUAUGGUAAACCCAAAGUCAUCCAAACCUCAUAAAACUCAUCAUCCCAACCGUCCAUUAAGCAAAGCAAAAGAUUGACAAAAAAACCCAUAAAGCAAAGAAAAUGAUGAACGAGAAACAAUAAACAUAUUUAUAAUGUACCUGAGGAGACGACACAAAGUCGGAGAUAGUGGUGGCUACCGUCUGUGAAGGUAAAACCUUGAAAAAAAAAGGUUAAGUGAGUAUGGGCUUUAAAGGUAAGCAAGCAACUUUGAGCUAAAAAAGGGGAGAAAAAGGCUUUGCGUUUGUACCUGAGAAGUCGGAGAAGGUGGCUGCAGGUGGAGUGAGUGCGUCCUUUUGAAGGCGCUCAAGGAUUGGAGCGACUGCGUUUGUGUGAACAAGGAACGGAAAUAAUAUGCUGGAUGAAGAUUUGAGUGCUUAUUAAUAAGCUGGAGGAUCCAUGCUCGUUUCAAAGGCAGACAGGGAGGUUUGGACAAAGUUACAAUAAAAUAAACUUAAAGCUGCAGUACCUACACUAUCAUCAUCCAAGGCCAAACCCCUCUAUGCAACAAUGAAAAACAACUAAUGUCUUUCCACAUUCGUAUGGACCGGUGGUUCUUUAGUGUCCUCCAUGCUCGGAUCUUUCUUUCAUAACGCAUAAGGUAGUUAUGUCACUUUGACUUGUGGUGAAAUUUAAAAAAGAAGUUGGAAAGAAAAUGCUAUUUAGCAUGAUGAAUUAAUGUGAUAGCACUAAGGACAAUCAAAUCUCAAAUGUGUACGACCAAAAUGGAGGAUUCUCUUCUUUUCUUUUCUUUUUUCUUCUUUUUUCUCUAAAAUGGAGGAUUCGUUGCUAAUUCCUUCAAGAUAUGAUUGAAUUUGAAUGCACAAUGUAUGUGAAUUUUUCUAUUUAACACUUCCCAACUUAUCUCUAUUUUUAUUUAAAAAUUUAAAUUAAGCACAAAACAACAACAACUUUCUCGAAAUUUAUAUCGUGCUCAAGUGUAAACAUAACAUAGCAUGUAGCCCACAUGGAUUAUUUGUUUGCCUCAAAGUUUAGAAAUGCAUUUUUUGUGUACAUAUAUGUAUUUGGCUUACGAACAAAAACUCCACCUUCUCAGUUAAAAUUAUUAUGGAUACCUUUGUUUUUUAUUAUUGAGAAAAGAAAAAACAACGGCAAAAACUCCACCUACACUAUCAUCAUCCAAGGCCAAACUCCUCUAAUGCAAAAAUGAAAAACAAUCAAUGUUUUUCCAAACUCAAGAUUUAAAAACGAUGAAAAAUGAUUUUGAGUUAGUUUGAAUUUGAUGUAUGAAUUAAAAUGGAUGUAGUCUUUAUAUGAACAAAAAAAAAAAAACAAAGGAUGAGGUUCUGGAUAAUGUCACGUGUCAUUACGUAAUCGGUUGAAAAUCUUAUCGAAAUCUUGGCUAAAUUAUUGUAAACAGAUAGUAACUCAUGGCUCAUCGGGAUUGGUUGAAAAUCUUAUCCAUCCACAAAAUAGUACUUUCGGAUAAUGACACGUGGCGUGACAAGAUUGGUUAAAAAUCUUAUUGAAAUCUUGGCUAAAUUAUUGUAAACAAAUAGUGACACAUGGCGCAUUGAGAUUGGUUGAAAAUCUUAUCGAAAAUUUAUCUACAAAAUAGUACUUUCGGAUAAUGACACGUGGCGUGAUAAAAUUGAUUAAAAAUCCUAUCCGAAAUUAAAACUAUAUUUUAUUUUAUUUUAUAAAAAAAUUAAUAAUACUUUAAUACGAAUUGACUAGAGUUUUAUGCCAACGCAUUCUUUAGGAGUAGACAUGUAUUUAGCUAAUUACAAUUCAUUGGAAUCAAUUACUAUUCAUUUAAGUAGAUUAAAUGAACUGGAUGUUAGCAUAUUUUUAAGGAUGGACUUGAUGUGCCCUCCAUGCCCGGAUCUUCUAUCACAACACAUAAGGGCAUGUUUGGUAUUCUACUUGAAUCCAACUUUUUUGACUCAAAAACAAUUUUCAAGUUUUAGACCUUAAAAACUUGUUUGGUAUGAUUAGUUUCAAAAACUGAACUCAAAACUAACUCAAAAAUAUAGUCUAUUUUCUAAAAACAUAAAAAGUGAGUUUUUAGAAUUUUUAAACUUAAAAUUACUCAUUUCUUUUCUCUCCCUCCUCCCUUCUCACUCCAAAUCUCUCUCUUUUCUUCUUUCUCUCUCCUUUUUUUUUUUUACAUUUUUCGUCUCUUCUCCAACCCUGCUCUCUUCAUUUUCUUGGUUCUUUCUCUCACAUCUCUUCCUCUCUAUCUCGUCCAAUCCUCUCUCUUCUUUCUCUUUCCUUCAAUCAUCUCUUACUUUAUUUCCUCAUUUCUCCUCUUUCUCCUUCUCUUGUGACUCUCUCUUUUUAGAUUUCUUUGUCUAGUUUAAGUUGUAAGAUUUAAAAAUUUUAAAUCACAAACCAAUCAAGUUUUUGAGUCCUAAAGAAAAUUGUUUUUAAGAAAUGUUCUUAAAAAAUAUUUUAAGAAAUGAUAAAAACUUUCAAAUAAGAUACCAAAUAAGUCUUAAGGUAUUUAUGUCACUUUAAUUUGUGGUGAAAUUUAAAAAAGAAAAUGAAAAAACUGAUGAGGGAAUUACUAUUUACAGCUGUGUCGACAUGACAACUCAAUUCCAACAGUACCAGCGCCAACUCUUCUACAGCUAUUAGGCCAUCUCCAACUGAAGGGUCCAGAGGGCCAGAGGGCCGAAAAUAGCCCUAAAACCGUCUCCAACCAAGGGCUAGGCCAGAGGGCUCGAGAAUCUGGGAGGGCCCCACGGAAUUUCAAAGGGCCAAAGGGCUGGCUGUAUUUUUUUUUUUAUAGUUUUGUUAUUCCUGUCAGUUAUAACCGACAAGAAUACAUGCUAUUAUUUAAUAUACUAAAUAAUGGUGUAUUCCUGUCGGUUAUAACCGACAGGAUUGUUUUAAAAAAAAAAUUCAAAUGAAACGGCUACUAGCCGUUGCAUUUGAUUUGAUUUUUUUUUUACAUUAUUAUUAUUUUUUUUUAUUUACAAAAUUUUUCAUAUAACUUCUAUUUCACAAAAUUUGGUUCAUAUUUUUUUUUAAAUUCCAUUUUUUUCCUAUAACUUCUAUUUCACAAAAUUUGUUUCAUAUUUUUUUUCCUAUAACUUCUAUUUCACAAAGUUUAUUUCAUUUUUUUUUUUAAAUUCCAUUUUUUUCCUAUAACUUCUAUUUCACAAAAUUUAUUUCAUAUUGUUUUUUAAAUUCCAUUUUUUUCCUAUAAUUUCUAUUUCACAAAAUUUGUUUCAUAUUUUUUUUUAAAUUCCAUUUUUUUUCCUAUAACUUCUAUUUGACAAAAUUUGUUUCAUAUUUUUUUUUAAAUUCUAUUUUUUUUCCUAUAACUUCCUAAGCCAUUAUACAACAUUAAAUUAAAUUAAGUAACAUGAAACAACAAUAAACAAUAUGAAACAACAUUAAAUAACAUUAACCAACAUAAAAAUUAUACAACAUGAAACUUAAACAACAUUUUAGUUGUAGUUUUUAAAUAAUAAAUUAUGUUUGGCCCUAUGGCCCUUUGGCCCUCGGUUGGAGACGGAGGCAAAUAUGGCCAUGUACUGUUCAUUAAAAUAUUAAUAUCUUGGAGAAUCUUGGAGGGCCAAAGGGCUAAAACGAGCGCUCUGGCCAGCCCUCGGUUAGAGAUGGCCUUACUACUAGCCCCUUGAGAAAACCUUCCACGUUGCCGGAUGCUUUGGUUAUACUCCCAGCCUACCAAGUUUUGGUCUUCGUUUUGACGGAUUCUCCUUUUAACUUAAUUCUAAUGACUUUAUCUCACUAAAAUCAUCUCUAAUUUUUGAAUUAAAAUUUAAAAUUUUAGGUUGUAAUUUAAAAAUAGUUUUUCUGCUUCAACAUUUCUAGAUUAAAUUUUGAGUCCGAAAUUAUAAAAUAAUGAAUUUAGGCCAACUUUUUUUUUAAGUAACUUAAAAAUAAUAAUUAUGUAGAUUAUUCUAAUUUAAUUUUAUGAACAUUUUAAUCUAUAAAUAUUUAUAUUCCGAUAAAUAUUAAAAAAUCGUUAAACUGACACAAUCAAACUCAUGGUACACUAUAAAAAAAUACGAAACACAUGAUAAAGAGGUAUAACACACGAAACAUAUGAAAAUUAGCCGUAGGAUUUAAUUUUGGAUCUUUACAUCUUUUUUUUUUUUUUAUCUCUAGAUUAGAUUAUAAUAGAUUAGAUCAUAUUAGUACACUAUGAAAAGAAUAUGAAACACAUGAGAAAAAUAUGAAAUACAUGAUAGAGAUGUAUAACACACAAAACACAUGAAAAUUUGCCGUUAAAUUUAAUUUUUGGUCUUUAGAUUUUUUUUUUUUAUCAUUUUAGAUUAGAUCAUAUUAGAUCUUAGCAGUUAAAUUAAAUGAAUUCAUAAAUAUAAAAUUAAAAUUAAGUUAUUUGAAUUGGCUAAUCCAACGAUUCAAAGAUCCAGGCCGUUGGAUUAAAUCAGCGAGCUGUUGGGCUCAUAAAGCAAGCCUACAUGCCCACGUGCGUGGGAACAAGGCCAGUCUGUUUUGAGAAAAUGGGGGCCAUGAGAUUCUGCUACGUGCGUCAGACCCAUGCGGGUGGGGCUCUACUUAGCGCAUUUAUUCACUAACUCGGACACAAUUUUUUCCGAAAUUUGCAUCAAAAAUGAAUUUUAUUUUAAAACUUAAUUUUGAUCAAAGAAUUUAAGCAAGUUGAUGUGACAGCCCGUCCCUGAUUUUAAGAGUUUUUAAAGUUUUAAUAAAGGAUUUUACAAAAAUACCCGUUGAGGUUCGUGCAUUAUUCGAGGUUAAUCGUUGUGUUGUGCCAUCUAAGAUUUGUUUUCUUGACAUAUCCUCGUAGUACUCGUCGCUACGGACGUGUGGGAGCUGACGGUUCGUUAUUUAGAGUUAUAACGAAAAAGAUUUUAAAGUUUGAAGUUUGGGCAUUUUAUAAAUUUUAUUAUUAAAAUUUGGAUGGUCCAGAUUUAAUGAAGAAUUAAAUGGAUGGCUUGGAUGUAAGGGAAAUAAAAAUAAAAAGAUGUAGAAGGGUUUUGUGUGUGUGUGUAUAUGUGACGGGAAAUGGGGAAGAAAAGAGAAGAAGAAGAAGAAAAGGGAAGGAGGAAGGACUGAUGCCCAAUCAGAGGAGAGGAAGGGAGAGACUGCCCAAUCAGAAGCAGAAGCAAGGAGGGAAAGGAGAGAGAGUGGCGUGCGGGGGAAAGGGGGAAUCGGGUUCCCCAACCCGCGACCUGUGUGCACCCAUUUCCAUUCCUUCAUAUUUUCCGAUGGUUUUCCACCGGAUUUCUCAUGAAAUUGGACUAAGAAACCAUCCCCAAUCAUUCCCUAGUCCUUUCCUCUUCCAUUUCCAAUCAAAUUUUCUGGGAUUUGAACUUGAAUUCGAGUAGAACGAAAAUAUGGGUUUCUGAGGAUGCCAUGGCAAAAUCUGACGAUCGUGAAGGUAAUCCAGCAAAUUGCUACCACCGCUAGACUCCUCUAGAACCCUGGAACAAAGCCCAAUCAGUGGUGGAGGUGUCAGAACACGUUUGGAGGUCGAAUUGAGACACACCCAUUUCUAGGGUUCUUCACGGUUUUGGUGGAAUUGGAGCAUUUCCAGGCCAAAUUGGCCUUCGACUCAGGUAUAAAGUUUACUCUACUCAUUGAGAUCUUCAAUUUUGUAUUUUUUGAGAAUUUUUGGAAAUAGUUAGAUUUUCCUGCGAGCCGGGGCGGCCAACCGCCACCCACGGCGGCCCGUGCGGCGGCGCGUGGCCAAUGGCCCACCAAUAUCAUUCUUAGCAUGUGUUUAAGGUUCUAGGUUCAGUUUAGAUAAUUUAUGCACGUAAAUUGAGUAAUUGAACCUAAAUUCGUUUCGAUUCGUGGUUAGGUGAAAAUGUGAAUUGACGAUCCGACCGUCGGAUCGUCACCAAACUUUGAUACGUUGUAAUAUGUAAUAUUUGAGGAUUAUAGGAACUUACGGAUCUGGAAUCUGAUUAACGGAUCUUUCGAAAUUGGAGUUGUAAGUUCAUAAAAUAGAAUGUUAACCGUCACUUGGUUUUGGAAAUUGACAGAGAUCCGACCGUUGGAUGGUAAUGAAAUUUUAGGAUGUUGUCCUAGAGGUAUAUUGUGGACAUCUAGAAGUUAUGGAUUUGAAAUCUGAGUUGCAGAUCUUCCGAAUCGAACUACGUAGUGACGUGUUUUAUAUAGGUUAUAUAUUCUAUCGAUAUGAAUUCUGAGGUUGGAUUUGAUUAUUGUUCUAGGCGCCGAUCGUCAUGAUGCCUUGAUGUGUGGUGCUAGGGAGUUGUUGGGCGAACUCCAGGUGAGUGGGCAGUAUUUUCUGUAUUUACCUAUAUACUGUUGAUUUUCCCAGAAAUUGAAUUUAAAUGAAAGAAUGUUUUAAAAUGUCAUGCAUGCAUAUUAUAAGAUAUAUGAAUUGAUAAUUGAUGCAUAUAUAUAUAUGUGAAUUAGUGUUGUAGACGCACAGAUGAGUAUCAGGUGAGUAUUAUGUUAUUCAUGUGAAUCAUUGAUGAUGUGAAUUGUGUUGAGAGCUCAUAACCUGCACCCCUGGUGUUAGUGCUUAUAUUAUUCACCACACCGCACGCUCACCUUGGAUCCAAGUAGGUGCAUGUCGUAUAGACCAUGAGAGGGUUCCGACAUGCUAGUUCUACAGACCACUAGAGGUGGUUCCGACUGGUAGGUGACCUUAGAUUAUGUUCACAGAUGAUUGAUGAGAGAAACACUAGAGUGUAUUAUUACACCAUUCUUGUCGUACAGACUACUUCAGGUAGUUCUGACUUAUGUGCAGAGUAGCGCCGUAUAGGUCACCGUGGUGACUCCGGUUGGAUUGGAUAUUGAGCUAUAGAAUUAACCGUACAGGACCAACUGCAGGGUCUCCGGUUGAUUCCUUAUUUCACAUGUUAUAUUGAUGCAUCCAUAUUCUGUUUUUGACAUUAUGACAUAGCAUACUUUUUUGUUUUGAUAAAGAUUGAUGAUUUGAGAUAUUUGAAGGUAUAUGCUAUUAUAUUAUUUUCUGGGAAAGUAUACAGGUUUUACAUCGAGGGGUUAGAAAUGUUUUAAAUGAAAUGUUUUCAAAAAACUUUGUUUUACUGACCCACUCAAUUUUGUUUUGCGCCCCUCCAGGUUCCAGAUAGCAGAGCUUUGGUGGCCACGAGGAAUCCAACGGUGUUCUGACAGAAUUCACAAAAGUAGAACUCACCCUCGGGUGUUUCAUCUUAGUAAUUGUUUUUUUAAAGCUUCCGAACUGUGUAAAUGGUUACGUCACUCUCACGUGACGGCCAGCAUGCCCUCCUUCGGGACGGGGUGUGUCAGCUGAAGUGGAUUUAGAACCUAAAAUUUAAAUUGAAGAGGUCUAAUGAAUGUGUUAUCAUUUCGUUGUAAAUUCAACUAAGGUUAAUUCUAGUGUUUUAAAUAAAGUAUCCCAGCGUUCAAAGCAUUAUGUCAUGCAAGACAUGUUACUUUUCUUUUCUCCUACAUUUUCUGAUCUACUAUUUGCCCUGUGGACAUCAUGUUAUUGCAGCUGCAGCUUGCUUUGGUAAUUUUUUAGUAGUUCUCGAAAUUUUUUAAAUCAAUAACUCUCCGGUGAAGUUUAAGAGGUGAAACUGGAGCAUGAUUUUGCACUGUGAAUUACAAAUUAGGUCUUGAUGUAGGCUUUCAAGACUACUGUUAAAUGUUGUGGAAACAUAAGACUAGAAUGUAGCUAGUUUUUUCAUACUAUAAAAAUAAUACUUUUCAAGGAUUUUGGAUUUUGGAUUUUGAAUGAAGUUUUCUGUUACUUUGCCAUGCUAAAGAAAAGUUAGAAUGAAGGUUGGUUGCUUGUAAUUAUAGUGCAACUUGGUAUUUAUGUCACUUUGAUAUGUGGUGAAUUAAAAAAGAAAAGGAAAAAAUAUACAAGAGGGAGAAAAAAAUGCUGUUUGGCUUGAUGAAUGAAUGUGACAGAGGACGAUCAAAUCCCAAAUGUGUAAGAGUAAAAUGGUUGAUUUGUGUCAUACACAUUAUUUUAAAAGAUUAUGUCGUGUUAAAUUUGUUAACUUAACGAAUUUUUAACAUAUGAUCCAAUAAUGACUCGACUCAUUGAAAAUUGAAAAUUUGUUAUUUUCAUGUCAUUUCGUAUUGAGUUAAUGAGUCGUAUAAAAAAUUGUUAGAUCUAAAUACUAGCCCUCCUACCCUCUACGCCUUGUGCUGCCUUCUGUCUGCUGCUGCCAUCACACAAGAAGGAAAACAGAAAACGCUUUCUAGUUUCCCUUUCUUCCAAACAAUUUUUUUUUUUAUGAAACAAAAAUCAUGAAGAAAUUGGCAAGUUUUUGCUGCUUUUGCCAUGUAAACGCAAAAGCAGCUCUAAAUUCAUAUUUUUAAUCGCCAAUAUAUUAUGAGAAUUUGAAUAAAAAAUUUAUAAGUAUUGAUCAAUAAACUUAAUACAAAUUUAUAAUAUAGAAUAAUAAAAGGUCUAACAGAAUUGGUCAAAAUGUGUCUUCACAUAAUGAAUUCAGAAACUAAAACUCACUUUUUAAUUCAAGAUCAAAGCUCAAAUUUGGCCAAAUUUCAAGAAUCAUUACUCCACUUUUUUUCUUCUAACUUUCGGACCUCUUCACUUUUCUUUGUGAUUCUCUGGAUGAUUGAGUGUAAAAUGGAGUCUGGUGACUUGUCAAACAAAAUUCCCAAAAAAGAUUGACAUGACAUGUUUGUCAUUAGGUCGGAGGGUCCGGUGACUUGUCUCUUCAGUCUGGCCCUAUUCUGUGCAUGCAGAGUUCAGUAAAAGAGCAACCGGCUAGAAUUGAGGUGGUGAUGGCUUAAGCUAAAUUCAGUAAAAGCAACCGGCUAGAAUGGCUUCAUUACUUUGGAGCCAUCCAAUUUGCUUCUGCUUUUUUUUUUUUUUUUUUUUUGAGAACUCAUUUUGAGUAAAUACUGUAUUGUUUGGGGUUAAUACAUGUAAGGAUAUCCAGUAAUUUUGAGUGAUGCUAUUUUCACCUCAUCUCACCCUCACAGUCUCACUCACCUGUUUUUUCUCAUUCUUUCAAUGUCUUUAAUGAGAAACUAGAUUCUCAAUCUUUUUUCUUUUAUUGUAUUGAUUAAUUUUUUUUAUCAAAAUUUCUAAUUUUUAAUAAGCGUCAUUAUUUCAAUUAUAAAUUAUUUACAUACCAACAUAAUUAAAUUUUAUUUCUAAAAUAUAUUUAUUUAGUGUUAGAAUUGUUAUAUUUCGUAUAUAUAUAUUUAUGGUUAAACUUUGUAUUAUAUAUUUCUAUUUUUAGUUUGUACCAUUUUUAGUUUGCAACCUUUUUUUAAUUUGUACCAAUUUUCUUUUUAGUUUUAAUUUGUACCCAUAUAUUAAUUUCAUUUUGUGCCCAUAUUUUUAAAAGUUUUAUUUAUACUAAUAAUUUAUUUAUAAUGUACCUAUUUUUCUUUAUAAAUGUACCACUUUAUUAUAUGUAAAAUGUACCUUUUUGUGAAUAUACCCUUUUUAUGUAAAAUGUACUCUUUUUUUAAUGUAAAAUCUAUUUAUUUUUUUAUUUAUAAUGUAUACAUCAUAUUAGAGAAAACAUCAUAUUACAAAAAUGGCUGCACCAAAUAACUUUUCCUAGUGAAAACUCGUGAGGAAAUAACCUUUUGUCAACUAGUACAAGAUUAUAAAUACAUCACUGUCACUUAUAUACAAGACAAAAGAAGUGCCAUGCAUGCUCCAAUAUCUCUUAAUUUGAAUCCAAUCAAAUCUUAAUUAAAUUCACGAACAGUAUAUGAAUUUAUGAAUCACUUCGUGUAUGCUACAUUAAGCAUAUGUAAAAACACAGUAAUAAGUUAAUAACACAUAUUGUUGGCAUGUUCUUUGAAACAAUACAUGUAUGAAUGCAAAACAUGUUGUCUACAACCUGAUCAUGCGCUUACGAAAUUAACAAUCAAAACGAAUAUGGAAAACCCAAGUAUGCAAUCAUGCAAAACAACAAGUGUUAAAACCCGUCUAUAAGUUACUAUAUUUUAUUUUCUGAAAAUUGUGAAAUGUUCAAAAUACUUCUAGAGGGGAAAUUGUUGACUUUUGUUGACCAUUAAACUUGUGACACGUAUGUCUUUGCACAUGUUCGUGGUACUCAUCGAUAUGAGCGCAUAAGCACGAGUGGAGAGGAAAUUAGAGCUAAAAUAAAGAUUGUACGAAACACAAAUGUUAAGGGUGUUCUUGUAAUUCUAAAUUUAAAGAGUAAAACUAAUAAUAAUAUAAAAUAUUAACUAAAGUAAAGCAAAGGGGAAAAAAAGGAGGCAUCUGGAAGGGGGAGGAAGAGAGAAGAAAAAAAAGGUGGGAGAUGGCGUUGGCCAAUGGAUUGGGGGGGGGGGGAUUACAAGGAAUCCCACGGCCCCAAAACUAUUAAUCAGAAAAGGGGGGAGAGAGCGGAAAAAAGAAAAGGGGGACAAGGAUAGAAACUAUGAAUCUUUGAGAGAAGUCGAAGGAAAUAUGGAAGACACCAGGAGAAGCAAAGAGAAAAUAAGGAAUUAAAAUGUCUACUAGAAACUGAGAGAAAAGUUGUACAACCAUGUCGUUUGAACCAUAACAGAAAUGUGAUUGCUUUUGUCGACCGCAGCAUAGGUAACGAUUCACAUCUCUCUUUAUUCCUUCCAUAGCUGCUUUGUAUCAAUCUUUCGUAUUAUUUUCAGUUUUAUACUUUGGGUGUUGUAAUCAAAUAUCUUGUUCUAGGGUUUGGAUUAAAAGGUCAAGUCUUGUUAAUUAUUGAAUAUAAUUGAAAUCGAAGUUAUAAACAUGAAGUCUGAAAUGUGUGGAAGCAUUCUGAAAAUGUAAUUUGCAUUAUAAGAGUAUAGGUUCUAAAUUGCAAGAAAUUUAUUAAUUCUUCACAGAAAAACUAUGUUUCAAGUAGCCUAUUUUGGCUCUUAAUUUCUCUGCCUUUAUGGAUUCCUUUUGAGCCACUAUUACGUGGUUUAAAACUAGACGUGUCCAUGAUCAAUAGCCAUCUGAUUUCACUUAAUUCCAUUGAGUAUUGAUAUGUCAAAAUCAUAUUCAAACUUGAGUCCCGAAGCUGCCAGACAGCAGCAAAUACUGGGUUUCCAGUUUCGGUACUCUAUUUUGUAACUUGCAUAACUUUCAACUUAGAACCCCGUUUUCUACAAAUCUUUUAUGCUUUUGAAGUACACAAAACAAGCUUCGAAACCCAUGUAAGUUUGCAUCAACUAGUUAGGUAUGAGUGUUCAAAAUCAGGUUAAUAUUGGUUGACUUAAACUGCAGCGUUUGUGGAGAAGAGGUUGCUGCUUUGCAAUGUUCUUUCUUCUCUAAAUUUUAAUUCUAAUUUACUUAUCAAUAUUGAGUUUAUUAAAUCACUUUAUAUGGUUAUGUAUUGGGUUUCAAAGAACCAUUUUCUGAUACAAUUAUAAGCUCAAUGACUUAAUGUAUUGGUGCACUUAUGCCUAUUGAAACACAUAAUCACUUAUAGUCCAGAACUAUUUCCAUUCAAAUGUAUUGGCAGUGAUGAAGCUAUAUUAGGUCAACCAAAAUGGGGACUGUUAAAUUAGUAUUCCAAGUACUUUGACUAGGAUUAAAGUUCAUCUAAUGCAUUUAGUAAUGUCUUAUAUUGUGAAAAUGGAUUUGGCCAUGUUGGUGGAUCCUUGUAUUAGUAACUGAGAGCAAUGCUUAGGAAUCCAUGUAUAGGAAAUACAACAAACAUUUUUGGAGUUUGAUUAUACUAAACUUCGUGGAAUGUUAUCUUAUUAUUUAUCUCAUUGGUUGAUUACUUGUGUACAUAAUUAGAUUACAUGAAUGGUAAUCGAAUUAAUGCUUUUGUUGGAUGUCUAUUGGUGUGAUUAUGGCUUGCUUUGAUAUAAGAUGGAAUUCUUAUCAGACUUUGUAAUAACGUGAGAUAUGUUAGGGAAUUACGAAUGGCUUGAUCCUGUCUUAGGGUACGUAGGCAGUCUGACAUAGAGGUUAGAUGCAACCAUAUGAUAAAAGAAAAAUUACUACUAUUGGCACAAUGAUUCGGGUGAAAGUGUAUGUGAUGAUGUCACGUGUGGAUCCUAGACCUAUCUUGGGAUCUGGACGUGACAAGAAGUAAUUAUGAAUUACCACUUAUGUAAUGCCAAUUUGGAACUGAUGACAAAAUUAUAGCAACCAAAUCUAAACUUGUCUUAAGAUUGUUGGGAAAAUACGAUCUAAUUGCUAUAUUAAAUCACAUAAAAAAUUAAGAAAUAAUUUAUGCAAUUAUAUAUCAAAGUAAUGCAUGCACAUGAUUAACUAAUAUUAAACGAACAUGACAUAAUGGAUUAGAAAAACCUAGAAGUACAGUCGAGGCAAGUGUUGGACACUCUGUCCUUAAGAUAAGUUUACGCCCCACUACGAUGUUCAUGGUUGGUUGACGCUUGUCACUCGGGAUACAACGACCACGUCCUUGUAAUAGUAGCACUCCAAAUCACAAGGCUCCAAAGAAUCAUGAUUGUGUUGAAUACACUCUCAUAUAGACUCAAUUAUACUAUCUAAUUUUUAGUGCAUUAUAUGUAUGAAUAUGUAUAUUGAUUUUAUGAUUAUAGGAGGCUUCCUUAUUUAUAGAUUUGAGAUAUUUUUUUGGAAAACAUGUGACCAUUUAUCAAGAGUCAAAAGUUACUAUUCAUUAUGUUAGACGUAUAUUUCCACCAAAAGACAUAACUUCUAAUUUCCAUUUAAUUAUUUAAUUUAAUAUAAUAUUAAAAGUUCCAACAAUGCUCUUAGAAAUGGGGCGCCUAUUGAGCUUAUUAUGAAUGGCCCAAAGAAUAAUAUAUUACUCUCUAAGUACCAACCAUAGACACUUAAGCCCAUUUUUAACCAAAAAGGCUAAAUAUAGCCCUGUAAUUUUUUUUUUAAAAUAAACAGUAUCAGACUAUACUUAUACACCAUCUUCAACCAACCGAAGGCGAUAAACAUAGCCCCUCAAUAAUUUAUUAGUUUUAUGUUUAUACUUUAAAUUUAUGGUUAAUUUAAUUAAACUACUUUUGAAUGUUUUCAAAUCUAACCGUUGAGUUUCAAUCAAUUAUUGCAAUUGAAGAGCUGGAUCUCAAAAAAGGUUAAGAAGAAGACCACAUUUGGCUAGCCUGAUGCCCCCUUGGCCUUUGAUUGGAGAUGAAUUUUCGACCAAAUUAGGCUAUUUUCUAACUUUUAACCUUCUAAAUGCUUAACAUUAUCUUUCCCUCGGCCCGUAUUGUUCAUCUUUUCUCCUGCUGCCAUUGAUCGAUCCACAUAGCUCAUAGUCAUGAAGCCAUCGGUGUUCAUUCCCAAUAUUUAUUCAACAAUGAGGACAUAUUAUAACCAGCAGCCCGUCCUAGUGCUCUUAUUGUGGUCUUCAUCCUCGUCUAAUGUAGGGCUUACUCACCUUUUCCGGAACCAUUGGAAGUAAGUGUUGAGUUAGUUAUUGUUUCUUGACUUAACGCGGCUGGGCCCGAGUGUAACGUCAAAUGGGAGCUGAAGCUCGUAGUCACAAACCCCAACAGCAAGCAUUGAUUUGAUCUUUACAUUUAAGAUCAUCUACAGGCCACGCUCUUCUUGUACGAUCGCUGGCUUGCGGCAGCUUUAUGGUGACUACCAAGUCAUCACCUCCUCUUUUGCUUUUAACCAGCAAGACCAACCAGACGACUACCUUAAGUUUUCAAAUGCAAACUGACCGUGCCUACUUAGGUGAAGAACUUAUCAAGGAAAUCUCCAGAAUAAUAAUCCAAGUCCACCUGAAUGUGAUGGCUCGAUAUCGGCUCAUGCCCACCACUUCAAAGCCUGAGGGAUUUCAUGUGUUGUGGCUCUCCUGCCCUGGCAUGAGGCUGUGCGAGUUCGAUUCUACCCGUAGCAGGGAAAUCGUUUGACUCUUUAUUAAAUGUGUUGGUAAAUAUAGUUGCUUGCAAUAGACGAACUGGUGUUAUGUAAUUGGAGAUAAAUUGAUUCUACUUAAUUCCAAAUUAAUCUGGUGAUGUCUUUACUUAUCGGAUUUGAUUACGCAUUACAUACAUUACUGUUGAGAAAUUCAGGAUUUGGGCUCGAUGAAGAAGAAUGUUACGUAAUCGAUUUAAUGAGAUAAAAACAUUAAAUUAGGUAAUCAAUUUAUUGAGCUCAAACCCUGCAUUUCCCAACAACAAUGUAUGUAAUGCGCAAUCAAAUCCAAUAAGAAAAGACAUCACUGGAUUAAUUUGGAAUUAAGUAGAAUCAAUUUAUCUCCAAUUACAUAACACCAGUCUGUCUACUGCAAGCAAUUACAUUUACCAACACAUUUAAUAAAGAGUUAAACGAUUUCCCUACUAAGGGUAGAAUUAGUUAAACGAUUUCCCUACUACGGGUAGAAUUGAACUUGCACAGACCCAUGUCGGGGCAGAAGAGUCGCAACAUAUGGAAUCCCUCAAGCUUCGAAGUUGUGGGCAUGAGCUGAAAUCGAGGCAUCACAUUCAAGUGGACUUGGAUUAUCCCUCUGGAGAUUUCCUCGAUGAGUUCUUCAUCGAAGUAGGCAUGAUCAGUUUGCUUUUGAAACUCAAGGUGGCCGUCUGGUUGGUCUCGCUGGUUAAAAGCAAGGGAGAAGGCAAUGACUUGGUAGUCACCAUAAAGCUGUUGCCAAACCAGUGAUCGUACAAGAAGAGUAAGGCUUGCAGACGAUCUCCAAUGUAGAGAUCGAAGCCGUACUUGCUGUUGGGGUUUGUGAGUACGAGCUCCAGCUCCCUUUGAUGGUACACACGGGCCCGGCCGUGUUGAGUUAGGAAACGGUAACUGACUCUACACUUAGUAAUUAGGUCCGAAUAUACAUGUUUGGAGGACUUAAACGUAAGAAAACAACUACUCGCAAAUAAAAUCAAUUUUCAUGCAUGGAUGAAAUUUGCGAUGGUCAUACAUUAAAGAGAUAGUCAACCUAGUGGAUCCAAUAAUUAAGUUUUAAUUAGAGAGUAAGUUGUAUCAUUGAGGGGAAUGAGUUAAAAGCCUGUAAUUGGAGUAGUCAUAGUGGAAACCCAACCUAGUUGACUGGAGAUCCCAAGAUCUAGGUUUAAAAAGGACAACUAAAUUAUGACAACUUGGAAUAGCAUUGAGGAGAUAAAUUCUCUUUCUGCCCAUGCAAGACGAGUUGGAGUAUCGCUCGGAAAACCUCUAGAAACUUGCUUGAGAGGCUAAAUAGGUUACAUGGUCUUUAAUGUAUUAAAAAGGAUGGAAUUCUAAUAACCUUUCCACUCGAUUCUUGCUACUUUUUACUUGAAUUUUCUCAUUUACCCUUUCAACUUUCUUCUUACUCAUGUUUAAUAAUCAAAACUAUGUAAUUUUUAGAUCACCAUGUAAACUUGAACUCUGCAAAAUUAACAAAAUUAGAAAUUAUUUAAGCGUCAAUUCACAUUGUCGAUAUUUUAAUUAGUUAAGUGAAGAACUCUAUUUUUAGAUGACUAAAUAAUUUUCAAUUUAGUUAUUUGUUUAUAAAUUGAUCAUUAAGAGUAACUUAAAAAUAGAUAGUUUGGAUAUUGUGCAACAUUACAAGAAAAAAGAAGAGUAAAAAAAGUAAGCUAAUUAGUUUUGACAUAUUAGCUAUCCAAAUUAUAUGUACAUUGAAGAAACAAAUUUAGAGAUUGAGGCUUAUCUAUUAGAGGUUGUGAAAACAUAGGUGGUGGACACGGUUAGAACUCAGCUAAUUAGUUUUGACAUAUUAGCUAACCAAAUUAUAUUUCUAGCUAGUUGCUCCCUAUCCAAUCAUCAAAUAGGUAAUACCAACCGAAUUGGUGUGCAAAAAGAUAAUAUAGAGAUCUGCCAAUCUCUGUCAAACACGGAGGCAUGUAUUAAUGUGGUAAUGGUACCACACAGUACUAGGGUUCGGAGGUUAUAAAACACGGCGGUGCAUUUGGUGAGUUCUUCUGUUCUUAGGAGUCAAGUAGCGGGAGCUAAGUCGGAGCUUUGCAGGUUUUGGAACUCCCGCAUACAUAUCAUCUCUGCCUCUGUGUGUGUGAUAGAGAGUUUAAGCUGUAUUUAUCAAAGCCAUGUAAAAAUAUGAAUUUUAAAGCUGCCUAUCCCUUCACGUGAAAGGCAGCAAAACCUUGCUAAUUUCUUGAUAAUUUUUGUUUGGGAGAAAGGGAAGCUAGAAAGCGUUUAGCAAUUAGAGCUAAACGGAGAGAAAGGCUUUGCCUCUCUACCUGAGGAGUCGGAGAAGGUGGUGGCCUUGGAUGGAGUGAGUGCAUUCGUUGAUAGAGAGAGGGCUUAAUAUGCCAGAUACUGAGGAGAGGAGGUUGACUAUUGAGUCUGGACAAAAUUAUAGCAAGACAAAUUUUCAGCUACUACCUUAGUACAUGUACUAUGGAAAGGAUCCCUUCCACCUAAUUCUCCUCAUUAAACAAUCCAGACUCUUGAAAUUUGAUCAAACGGCUAAAGUUAUUAUAACUUUUAGAGUGGAUCCCUGUUUGUAGCCGUUUGAUUAAAUUUCAAGGGUCCGAAUUGUUUGAUGAGGAGGAUUAGGUAGAAGGGAUCCGAAGAGAAUCUCUUUCCAUAGUAUAGGUAAUGGUAGCUUAAAAUUUGUCUUGCUAUAAUUUUGUAAAUUUGUCUUGCUAUAAUUUUGUCUAGACUCAAUAGGCAACCUCCUCUCCUCAGUAUCUAGCAUAUUAAGCCUCUCUCUCUUUCUCCCUCUCCCUCUACAUCUAAGGCCACCACCUUCUCUGAUUCCUCAGGUACAAAGGCAAAGUCUUUCUCUCCGUUUAGGUCUAAGUUGCUUGCUUACCUUUAGAACACGUAUUCAUUUAUCUUCUUCUUUUUUUCAAGGUUUUACUUUCACACACGGCAGCCACCGCCAUCUCCGAUUCCGUCUUCGACUCCUCAGGUACAUAGUAAAUGUGUUUAUUGUUCAUCGUUUGAUUCUUUAUGUUUGGACCCAAUGAUUUAUAUUAUCAGCACAAAAUCAUGUAAUGGUUUACUCAAACUUGUUUUCUGGGUCCUCGGCAUCUUCGGGUUAUAUAUAUAUAUAUGGAUGAGUUUGAUUGAAUAUUUUCUCAAUUUAUUUAUGGGUGUGUAAGUUAGAGACUCGGCACAAAAGUUCAUCCCCAAAUUCAAACUCUAUUUUUUUUUUUUAAAGUAUUAGUACAUGUUUUUUUUUAAUUAAAUAUAUAAAAGUGAGAGGCAGAAGGCAGUCUGUAGGCUUGUAAUUUUCAAUUAAAUAUAUAAAGUGCAAGGUAGAAGGUAGGCAAAAAAUGCUUUUGUUUCUCAGCCACACGCAUCCACGACACCCUGUAGGCGGUGGAGGCCACCUAGGGAGGAAAAGAAACAACCCUUUUUUUCUUUUGGUUUUUUAUCAUUCUUUGUUGUAUCGUUAUGUACUUGCUAGGUAUUUCAUGGAUAACCAAGGACAUGGUAAUCCGGCAGCCGAUGCCACAACCAAACGAUGGUAGAUGGGCUCGGUGCGUGCUGUGGUACUGUUUCUUGCAUUCACAUUUGGGCUGAUUGUUCACUUUAAUAAGGCUAAGGGUACUAUUAAGAAGGGAUACUGGGACUACAUAGUGUCUAUAUUUAACUGUUGCAACAUAACAACAGUAGGAUAUGAAGACUACGUUCCCAAUAAGGGUACCUCAAAGUGGUUCACAGUAUUAGUCACAAUGGUUCUGGCAAAUCCAAGUAUGUUUACCAUCCAUACAAUCAUAGGUAAGCUCGUAUCUUGGAUUGUUUCCAAGAGUAGAUUUUAUCAAAGGCCUAGGCAGCAUCAGAUCGGUUCAUCAACAUUUUGUAUGUUUCUCCUAGUGUUAAUCAUAGGGCUUGCAGUAAUACACCUAUGGGAGGUGAAGCAAACGACUUCGGAUAACAAUAAUACAAAAAAUAUGAAUUAUGCAAAGUUAUAUUACUUUAACGUUAUAUCGUUGAUUAUGAUUGGGUACAACGAUUUUGCAUUCAAGUCUACCAGUGGACAACUUUUCGCUUCGUUUUAUCUGCUAAUUGGACCACUGCUAGUCGUCUGAUAUUUGGACUUCGUAGUUGGCUCUUUUCUCCAAUAGUGGACGGAGUAAUUAAAUUUACUUUAUUUUUGUAUACCUUAUGUUAUGUUUGUGUGAAUCUUUGAAGUAAAGUUUAUAAUUUUUCUUGAUAUGUAGACCAAAUUUAGAACAGUUAUAUGACACCAGGGCAACUAUAAUAGUUGAUCAAGCUCUUCCCUAGCAUCGUAUAACUGGUGUUCUAAGUUUGAUCUGUAUAUCAAGAAAAAUAAUAAACUUUACUUCAAACAGUCACAAAAACAUAACAUAAGGUAUAUGUAAAUAAAGUAAAUUUAAUUACUUUGUCCACUGUCCAAGAAAAGAGCCAAGUAGGAAGUCCAAAUAUCGGACAACCAGCAGUGGUCCAAUUAGCAGAUGAAACGAAGCUAAAAGCUGUCCACUGGUACACUUGAACGCAAAAUCGAUGUACCCAACCGUCAUCAACGAUAUAACAUUAAAGUAAUAUACGUCUAUAUAAUUCAUAUUUUUUGUAUUCUUGUUAUCCGGAGUUGUCUACUUCGCCUCCAAUAGGUGUAUUACUAUAGGCCCUAUGAUUACCACGAGGAGAAACAUACAAAAUGUUGCCGAACCGAUUUGAUGAUGCCUAGGCCUCUGAUAAAAUCUACUCUUGGAAACAAUCCAAGAUAUGAGCUUACCUAUGAUUUUAUCGAUGGUACACAUACUUGUAUUUGCCAAAACCACUAUGACUAAUAUUGUGAACCACUUCGAUGUACCCGUGUUGGGAACGUAGUCUCCAUAUCCUACAAUUGUUAUAGUAACAACCGUAAAAUAUAGAGCCUCUACGAAACCCUAGAAUCCCUUCUUAACACUACCCUCAGCCUGAUUAAGGUGAACACUCAUCCCAAAUAUGCAUGCAAGAACCAGUACCAUAGCACACACCACAGUUCUGCUGUGGCAUCGGCUACCAGAUUACCGCAUCGUUGGUUAUCCAUGAAAAACCUAGUAAGACAUCACGAUACAAUAGAAUGAUCAACAACCAAAAGAAAAAAGGGUUGUUUCUUUUCCUCCCUAGGUUGGCCUCUACCGGAAUGUGGUUGAUGCAUGUGGAGGUAUGGCUGAGAAACAAAAGCAUUUUUCGCCUACGCACUGCCUUCUGCCUUUCAAUUUUACAUAUUUUUUUUAGGAAAACUAAUGAAAAGGGCUUGAAAACUUUGAGUUUUAAUGAUAAGGACAAAAUAAAGGGUAAAGUGAAUAAUACCAGGAUUGACUUUUUAGUGUAAAAAUGUGGUUUUUCGUUAAAGUGAACAGUACCGGGUGCUUUUCGUUAAAGUUCCCUUUUUUUUUUUGUUUACAAACUAGCAGUUACUAGUCUCGUAUGGAAGUUGAUUUCUGUAGGUUGAAUUGGAAAUGUUGGCAUUGCAAUGCUGGGGUUUGUUGUUCUUUUGUUGAAUGAGUAGGUUUCAAUAAUCUCGAAAGGGAGAUGUGUGUGACUGGAAUUGGAAAUGUUGCAUUGCAAUCCUGUUUGUUGUUUUUUUGUUGAAUGACUAGUUUUUAUUUGUUUAUUUCCGUUCGACUUUUCUGCAGAAAAUAAGUCGAUCAGAUUCAGGAACUAAAUGACAGCUCUUUCUGGAACUAAAAGUGAUCUAAUUGAGAAUGAUGUCUCACUCUUUCUGUGGGUUGUUUUGGAAGUGUUGGCAUUGUAAUGCUGCGGUUUGUUGCUCUUUUGUUGAAUGAGUAGGUUUUACUAGUCUCGUAUGGGAAUUGCUUCGUGUGACUUGAGUUGGAAAUGUUGCUUUUGCUAUCCUGGUUGUUGUUCUUUUGUCAAAUGACUACCAACUGCGUCCAAGGAUUAGGAACAAUUUGUGUCUUUACAUUGCUACUAGUGUUGUCCUAGCCAGGAAGCACUGUUAAUAGACUCUUGAAUAGUUGAUCAUGUUCAUACUAUUGCAUCUGACUUUCAGUCAUACGGAUAGGAGGAUACUGUGUUUAACCUAUAUUUUUAUACACU
rnacentral:lncRNA from 1 species